rnacentral:lncRNA from 1 species
UGUAUGAUGAGAGUUUAAAUUCCUACUACAGCCAUAUAUACAUGCUUGCUAGACUUUGAGCCACACAUUUACUUUUUACUGCUUAUGAGCAUUGAGUGUGGUCAAGCUGUGUAGACCUUAGGAGCUUGUCAUGUGGUUAAAAUCAAGAUUCACUUGCACGUUCACUCAUACAUGCUGCUUCUACUCCGGAAGUACGCAUCCACAUAUAUCCACUCAUUUCCAUCUCCAGAACCACCCAAAAAUAUUCUACUCCUAAUCCGGGAGAGAAUAGCCAAAAACAUUUCUGUUUUUCUCCUGUGAAAUAAAUGCUCAAGUUAUCUUGGUUACUGCCACUUGCUACAUUAUUUCAAGAGAUGAGUGCUCUAAAAAAAGAGAGAGAGAAAAAAAGAUACGAGGAAAUAAAAAGGGGCAAGUGCCUGGAUCCUCGAAAGAAAAGAAAAAAGUGAGACGAGAGGUAAAAAUGGACAAGUGUCCGAUAGUAGAAUUAGGGGUACAAGAUACCCACCUGAGAGGAAAGAAAAAGAAAGUGUAGAGCAUCUCAUUCUCCUCAAAAAGUUUUAAAGAGCAAGGAAGGUAUGUAUCCCCUCAAAAGAGCACCCGUAGAAUUAGACUUUCACCAUUGUUUUCACCAUUGUUAUCCCCAUCAUCACCAUACACCAUUCAUUCGCCACACAUGCACAUCUUGAUUUGACUUAUUGACUUGUUUCAUUGGAUCCAUGGUUUGACUAUGCAAUAAAUGUCUUGUAAGUAUGUAUACUUUAUCUUCUACCUAUGAGCUCCAGAUAUUAAAGCCUUAUUAGAGUAGGGUGAGAGAGAAGGCAAUGUCACUAUGUCUUAUACAACAAAUACUACAUACUUUGAGAGAAGGCAUAUACCAUCACUGCCUUGGUAAGGAUCUAGAAAUACCACAAAAGAGAGAUCUGAGAGAAUCAUACAAGGAAUCUCUGAGUUUUAUUUGAAAAUCUGCAAAAACUUCAGAGCUAUAGCUGAUCAAGAAUAAGAGACAUGGCACUUGACUAGACCGUUUUAUCUUUUAACUACUCAAGACAGAAGUGACGGUUACAAGUCCUAUGGUGAAAGGUAAAAUAAGUAAGUUUUAAGUCUUGACGAUUUACUCUAACUCAGAGAUGAGACCUUAUUUGAAAGCAUGUGUACCGUCAACUUUUAAAGGCAUUACAACAACUUCUGAUCCAUCACUGAGAUUAUCCUUGCUCAGGGACGAGCAAGAGGUAAGCUUGGGGGAGUUUGUUGACGGUCCUUAAGUAUCAAAUAUAAUCAGCAAAUAAACAAAGAAAAGGAUGCAAAUGCAAUCGAUAUCCAGACUUAGGGUUUUAUCUGACAGAAUUCCAUGAGUUUUGGUGUUUGUCUAUUUCUGCAGGGGGUUAUCAAGAAAUACGGAAGAAAGGCCCACACGUCGCGAUUACAUAUAGAUAUUAAUGUACCGCGCAAUUAUCUUACAUCUAGAAGGGUCCAGAAGCCACAGGAACGUACCGCCCUCCCCCUUGGGCGCCCGCCCUAGCCUUUCCACCAAUCACUGCCAAUCUCGCGGAUCAUGCUCCACUGACCUAAAGGAUUAAGGAUAACCGUUCAGUCAAUGUCGGUUUGAUCCGACGGCCCACAUUCACUUGGAAGGACUAUAUAACCAGACCCCCUGGCCCCUAGAGGAGGGAGCCUCUCAACCCUAAUUCAUUAUUCAUCUUGGGAGAAGAAGCCUCUGAUCAAGCCCUGGAGCCACCACAUCAAUUAGAUCUCUAGAUUAGCAUAGCUACAUAGGAUUAGAACUAGAAGGAGUCAAUCUUCGAUUGGUUUCCGGAUCUGUCAAGAGGAUUGUUGGUAAUUCUUUAUUGUUCUUCAAUUGUUCAUCUUUGUUCUUCAAUAUUAUGAAUAUGACUUUGUUCUACUUCAAUAUAUUGAUUAUGACUUUGCUCUACUUGUUUAUAUUCACAAUUAUAUUAUUCUUAGUUUAUCAUAGUUAUAUACUUGGCAUAGUUAGAUUGGAAUUAUAUACAAGUUUAGGAUCGUAUAGCAUUUAUCCAUGUGUACAGUGGGUAAAUGAUAAGUAUUGUGUAGGCGUGGUGCCUAUACCGUAUUUAUCUGCGAUUGUACCCUAUAUGCCAGACCGCGGGGUAGUUCGUGGUAGUGACAGCUCCAUUGAUUCUUAUAUAGUCCCCCUCUCGUGUAUUGGGCUGGCAGAGCAACAUUAUUACAGGGGAGUGAUUGCGAUGUUUCUCAUAUUCCUUGAUAAUAUCACUAUGCGUGGGCGUAGUCCUGUCUCGCAAUGAUUGCUAAGUAUAAAUGCACUAACUAUGAUAUGCUAGACUGUAUAGUUAAGAAUAACUUAGGAAAUUUUCUUGUAGUUCGUCCUAAUUCCAUGCUAAUGACUGGCUAGAAUAUCUAAUUGAGGUGCUUAUCAUAUUUAUAUGUGGCUAAGUUAUGCUGAUCAGAUUAAUUAUCUUCGUCACCAUUUAUACUUUAUAUAUCUUUUGUGUGACACUUAUCCCUGUAUGAAAGAGAUAGAUAGAUGCUCUCAAUUAUACAUGCAAUGAUAGAUACUCAAUUCUAUAUUCCAUUCUAUAAUCAACAUUGAUGAUUACUAAUCCCUUCCUAGUGGUAAAAAUAUAAAUAACGAUACCUGGAAUACUUCCCGGUUAAAAUGCUACAUCAGUAUUAAUCUGUGCGCUUGCAGAUCUCAUUUAUUAUUUAUUUAGAAGAGCAAUUGCAUAUUUCAAUACCGCGUCUUUCAUGUCAUGCUGGGGAUGACAACUUGGCUUAAGUGGCAUGGGGGAUAGAUUUUGCAUUUUUGGUGCCAUUAUCAGAAUUAGAAAACUAAGUCUACUUUUGGUAGUGACGUUAAGAAUGCCCAACAGUAGCUCGCGAGGGUGACUCUUAUAGCCUCACUAAAUCUUCCAUAGUCCACCUCUCAUUUGUAGGCCAAGUAGGACCUGGUUGCUAAGGAAAACAUCCUCUGCUGGUAUCUUUUCUUAAGUAAUGUCCCCAUUUGAACAAUACUAAAUAUAGGUUGCGAAGGUUAGAACUAGAAAACCCUAGUGAUCUUCUCUAUAUCCCUAUCAUCUCUAUCUUUGUUGCUUCUCAAGGGUUAAGCAUAGAUUUAGUUAGUCUCUCAUGUUAUUCUUGUGGAUAAAUACAAUACUCUAGAAUAUCCUAGAUAAAGUGCUACAUCGAUAUCCAUGCACUUGUAGAUCUCUCUAUAUGAUUAUUCUAUGUGUGUUAACAAAUACCAACACUAGGCAGAUUGUUACAUAGUCAAUCUAUGUAGUAGCGAUGAUCUCAAAUUAAUUCUAUGAUGAAUUGAUUGUACUCCACACGAUAGAACCAGAACACACCAUGUGAUCAAAUAAAUAUGAGACACAUGGAGGAACCAGCCCAGGACAUGUGACAUGUGGGCUAUUAAUAAUUCAGCACAUGGAACACUAGUAUAUUUGCACACUAUACAGGCGGUUGGUAACAUAUUUCUACAGGCGUUUUCCGGAUCCGCCUGCGCUGGAGGCCAGUACAAAUCGUCCAUUUCCAUAGGCGGUCUCUUGAGAGCCGCCAGUAUAAACCUUUUACACAGGCGGCUCUCUUAGGAAACCGCCUGUGUAAAUGUUCAUUUACACAGGCGGUUUCCUAAGAGAGACGCCUGUGUAAACCUAUUAAAAUAUGCAUUAUUUAUUUAUUUUUUAAUUUAUCUAUUUAUUUAUUUAUUAUUUUAUUGUUAUUAUUUAAAUAUAUUGAUAUUGGUUGGUCUUCUAACAUAGCAACAUGUAAUUUAAAUACUUCAUCUCAUACAUACAUUUGUAUACAUCAAAGUUUGGUGCUCAAAGACAUAAAGUUAAUUACAAGAGUAUAUCCAUCAUCACACAUCAUAUAUAUAUACAUCAAAGUUUGUUUCUGUCCUCUAAUAACCCUCUUUAGUAAGUUUGAGCUUACUAAUCUCUGUUAGCACUCGGAACUCUAGCCUGGAUAAUUGGCUUUCAUCAUCAUGAUAUUUGCCUUCACGUGGAAUGACAUGCUUCAUGAUGAACGAGCAGAUGUCCUCAACUAUGUUGUCUAAAGCACGUUCGUCCAUGCGCUCCGCCGUCCUUUGCUUAUAUACCUGCAAAGAAAGUUUAUAAACAUUAUAUAUUUUAUGACUUCCAACUUUAAUAGACUAUUACUUAUAUUACCUUAGCAGGGUUCCUUGCAUAUCAUCCGUUUUCUCUCAUGUUCUCGCACACGUAGUAGUCACAGAGGACAGAUAACGGUGGUUGCUUCAUGCACUGUAUAACAGGAGAGUGGUUAUUUAAUUAUAGUUGCAACUGUGGUCGUAUAUGUAUGAUUUGUAUUCAUAAUAGUAAAUUUUUAUACGUACCGGCCAGUUAUGUAUAACCUCCAAUGGUUGCCCUGGUCUCUUGGACUCGCACUUUCCAUGAUUUAUCUUAUAGAACCUGUAUGCCCUAUGAUCUCAAAUAGAAUCACCAUGUUAUUGUCAAUUUCUCACUAUGCUUAAGUAUGCAUGCAUAGCUUGACUUACAGCUCUAGCAGUUUGAUGAAUGGAGCAUAGCUUUCUUUCGUGUAAUCUGCGGAGUCUAGUACCAACACCCUUCCCUCCUUGGGAUAAAUGACGAAGCAUAUCCAAUGCCUCCUGCUCAAAUUAAAUCCAUGAUGCAUUUAUGCAUUGGAAUAAUUUAGAUAGAUAUUUGUAAACUCACACUUACCCAAAGUGGUACGGGGCCACCACCGCUUUCCUGUCUUGAAACUUUAUUAGUGAAUGUCCAAUGUAGAAGGCGUAUUUAGCUUCAAAAUCAAGUUUCAACUUUCGGAGUUUCUCAUCCCGUUCUGCACCUUCCAAACCCCGUACCUCUGUGCUGUCAUUCCCGAUCCGGAAUGUGUGCUGAUCUUCGGCUAUAUCUAUUGGGCAAAGAUAGGCAUUCCUUUCUUCGGCACAAUAAUUUAGGUCCGAACCAAAAUACAUAUCUUGUUGAUCAUAUAACAUUCUGCAAGACAGAAGCAUGUCAGAUAUUGAAAAUUAAUGCAACUAUAAUGUGUGUAACUAUGUAACACUUACAAUGCAAAUGCCGUUACGAUCUGUACAUCUAGCAUCUCGUGGUUCAUCAGUGCCCACAUGUCAUCAAAUGUAAGCAUGCAUUUGUCAGUACUCUGGCUGAGAAAUGCUAUUUGUGGUAUGCGCAUGCUUAUGGUGUCGAUACCAGUCAUGAAACCUUUUUAUACCACUUGGUUUCUUCAUAAGUUUGGUCCGACUGAGUAGAGGCUUUCCCCACACGUACUUUUUGGGGAUAGUCUUGUAGUCUUCUGCAGUUGGCACCUUGAAAUUGACAGGAGUUAUGACCUUAGGCGCCGGCACCUCUGACUUUGCUAGCUUAGAAAUCUCAUGCUCUUGUAUUGUGCGUUUUGAAGCAAUGCCUGACAAAAAUCUCACUUGCCCAGCUGAUUUUUUCUUUGGCUCGAAUGGUGAAAUCAACUUAGGUAUCAGAAAUACUUUCUUCUUUGUCACCUUUGGUGGCUCACUUAUUGGUUCUGGAUCUUUCAGUUGUGGGGAAGGGGUGGAAUUGAAUGGUGGUGGAGAUUGUGUUGACUGUGGGGUAGAAAGAUCAUGGAGAGGAGAUGGUUGAUGGACAGGGAAAACAUGGAGAGGUGAUUCUGGUGGGUCAGGAAGAGACUGGAGAGGUGAAGGCGGUGGGUUAGGAAGAGGAUCGACAUGAGCUGACGACUCUUGGGUUAGUGGCAUCUCUUGAGAGGGUGGUGGUGGCUCCCUUAGUUGCACGUCCCUCCGAGGCCAUAGGAUGAAAUUGUUUAUCAUCUAUCCUAGUUUCACAUUGUCCUCGGGACCAGGGAUGUCUAGAAUCUCGUCCUCAUAUCCUUGGACCACGGUUGAUACCUCUACUCUGCAGUAGUCUUUAGGGAUGUCAGCACCAUGGUAUUUAGGUCCUCCUGGGAUCGCUUUGCCCGUGGCUACUUCCCUUGUACGAUGAUUGUUAAUCCCAUAUCUUAUGACAAGGGAGCAAGGUGUAGAACUAACAAUGUCGUCAAUUGGAUAGUGAUCCUUAUUUGCCGUAGAUGCGACACUGCUUGGAAUGAUUGUUUCACUUGAUGCCACCAACGGUUGCGACACCACUGGGACAAGCUGCAUUUCGGGAGCUUGAGUGCUCAUUUGGGUAGCUGCAUUUGACAUGGCACUCGCUAGUUUCUGCAUCAACUCAGGAGGAGGAUUUUCUAGCAACUUCUCCAUCAUCUCUUGGAAGUCUUUCUAAGCCUCUUCCUGAAAAUAAUGUGCCAUUUGAUCCUUGUACCGAUCACGUUUCUUAUACUCAUUUGCCCAUUGAGGUCCGAAUCCAUCCUUCCAUCCUUCUUUGGAUGAAAUGCCUCGAACACGGCCAGGAUGCUCGGGGUUACCGAGGCCAACACUAAGUGUGUCCCUCUCCCUUUGUGGCGUAAACUUGCCUUUCUGCUGCAUGCCUGCCACAGCAAAGAUGCUCUUCAUUGCUUCAUCAAGCAUUGGGUCUUCAAAGGACACACCUGUCUCGGUUUCCUUUGGUUUCCGAGCACCGAUUCAAUUCGUGGACCUUUCACCGACUUGCUCGGACAACACUGGCAACCCUACUGCCUUCUUCCCAGCCUCUUCUUGCCUCCAUUUAGGAACUUGGUGCCGGUAACUACCUGUGCCUAGAUGGUGGUGGUACUUGUUCCUCUUUGCGAGCUGGGAGUUGGCUUCGCACCGAGCUAAGAAGUUAGGGUCAUUCCUCUGCUCUAGAAAAUGAGCCCACUGCCCUUUAGUAAUAUUGUAUUUGGAUGUCAGAUCCAUCCCUGUCUUAGCAUACUUGACAUUCAUCUCCGACCUCCAAUUUCGGAAACUAACCGCACAUUGCUUCAUUGUAUAUGCCUUCACUAAAUCUUCUGGCACAUUCCUAGGAAACUGGAACUGGUCUUAAUCUUAUCCCAAAUUUUGAUCUUGUGAUUAUUCGACACACCGGCCCAGUUCUUAACUGUGAUAUCAAGAAAGUCCCUCACACAGAAACUAAUUGCAUUCCUAUAUUUGGGUAGGGCCUCCUCUGGAGCUAGGGGCUGUCCGGUAGGGCUCACAUCUGUGAUGGCAUAUGUGUCAUCUGGAAAUUGGUUAAACUCUCUCUCGCCUCGUUUCAAACCUUGUCGCUUCCUUUUCCUAGACUGACAUGGCCUCUCAGGGCUCGUCGUUGCUGUCGUCGGUUCCGGUGCGUCUUCGUGUGCCACUUCCUCCUGAGACAUCAUCUCUCUAAACUGAGACAUUGCCUCCUGAGUAUAGACAUGUGAAUCAUGGGUGUGUUUAUAUGUAGGAACUAUGAAUAGAAAUCAUUUAAUUACAUGAAAUCGUGAAUGUCUCUAAUUUACCUCAUCGGCUUCUGGAUUGUAAUCGGGGUCACGUGCCAAUUCACGACGAGUCUUCCUCACUUCUGGAGGCUCCAUGUCGUCGCUAGCUUCUUGUUCAUAGGACGAACCUGAUGCUUCGCCCGUUUCUACUUGUUUCGUGACCUCACGAGCUUGUUCCAUAGGGUCAGUUGACCCUUCUACUUGCUCCGUGGGUUGGGAUUGCAGUGUUUCGUCCUUGUGCGGAGAACUCAUCGCAGAAAUCUAUGUAAUUUAUACAUAAAAUUAAAUGAUUUACAUACACUAAUAUAUCAUACACUAAUAUAUACAUAAUAUAUCAUACACUAAUAUAUUAAAUGAAUUACAUAUACACUACUACAUAUAUAAGCAGAUUAAAUUUACAUACACUAAUAUAUACACUAAUAUAUCAUACACUAAUAUAUACAUAAUAUAUCAUACACUAAUAUAUUAAAUGAUUUACGUAUACACUACUACAUAUAUAAACAGAUUAAAUUUACAAAAUUCCAGCCCAACAGGCCCAGCAGGCCGUCACUCCCUCUCCCUUCUCUCCCUCUCUCUGGCAGGUGGGCCCCACCUGUCGGGGUCAUCCCCUACCUCCAGCCACCGCCGCCACCGCACCGCCCUUUCCACCACCGCACACCCCGCACCAGCCCCAUCCUCUUCCACCAUCGCCACUGUUGACGGUCCUUAAGUAUCAAAUUUAAAUAUCAAAUAAACAAAGAAAAGGAUCCAAAUGAAAUCAACAUCUAGACUUAGGGUUUUAUCUGACAGAAUUCCACGAGUUUUGGUGUUUGUCUAUUUCUGCAGGGGGUUAUCAGGAAAUAAGAAAGAAAGGCCCACAUGUCUGGAUUACAUAGAGAUAUCAACGCACCGCGCAAUUUUCUACCAUCUAGAAGACUCCAGAAGCCACGAGACCGAAGCGGAGGCGAAACGGGGCCAGGACCUGGGCGCCCGCCCAGUUUCCUUGGGCGCCCGCCCACCUGCCGAGCCCAAUCAGGACUCUUUCUCUCGGGAGAUCUCCACCGACCUAUUGGAUCCAGAAUAAUGUAGUACCACCUCGCCUACUGACCCAAAAGCGUAUAGAAGGGGAGGACUAUAUAAGGAGACCCCCCUGGCCCCUGGAGAAGACAAGAAAUUAUCAUAGAGAUUGAGGGGUGCCCUCGAAGGAAAACCUCUUCUCUAAAUCAUAUUUCUUUUUAGGCUUAGCAACCAAUGUAAAGUAGAAAUAGAUCUUCUAGUUUCUACUAGAUUGAGAGAGAUAGAGUGGAGGUGUGGAUCGGAGGAAGGCCGGCCUGUCGGUGUCUACUCUGAGUUGUACCUACGGGAUCAAGUCUCCUAACCCGAGGCUUGCUUCUAAGAUUCUUCAGUAAUUCGACUUCUAAUACUAGUAAGUUCUUGUUUUAUUGUUCUUUGAUUUAUGAGUUUACUUUAAUCCUCUUCCGGUUGAGUAUUAGAGUAAUCACUUGUUGGCGUAAACGUGGUGUUUAGGCUAGGGUACUCAUAGAUAUCCCCUGACUAGCUGGACCGUGGUAGUAGCGAGGAACGUGACAUUUCCGAGUUACCUUUGUAUCCCAUAUCUUGUUAGCAGGACGGGUAGGGUUAUAGGUGCGGGUCGAACAUCCUUUGUGUUGUCUAGAUUCCGUGAGCCUCCCCAAUAGAACAGUAGAUCAUCCUUACCAAGGUUAGAACGAGACUACGGUUGCAGUCUUCUCUAUACAUCACUCACAUCGAGAGACAUUCUUUGUAGCCUAAAGGGGUAGUAGCAAUAGAUUUGGUUAGUCAGAUGCACCAUUUCUCCCAGUGGUAAAAAUAAAAAUACGAUAACUCUGGAAAACCUCCCAUGUGAAAUGCUCACCGAUAUCCGUGCGCUUGCGGAUCAUUUCCUUAUUGCGUUACCAAAUAUCAACAAGCAUUUCUGGCGCCGUUGCCGGGGAGAAAGACGGUUUGCUGAGAUAACUUUGAGUCUUGCUAUUAUCUUGUAUUAUACUUUUAUGCUUUUAUUCUUUUAUCUUUUUAUUUUUAUAUUUAUGGAUACCUUAAAUUUCAUACCUAUUUUAAAAUUCUUUGCACCUUCGGAGACCAGCCAUUGUUGACGGUCCUUAAUGCUCACAUUUAACCAUCAACUAAUCAUAGAAAAGGAUCCAAAUGCAACCAACACCUAGACUUAGGGUUUUAUCUGACAGAAUUCCACAAGUUUUAGUGUUUGUCUAUUUCUGCAGGGGGUUAUUAGGAAAUAUGAAAGAAAGGCCCACACGUCGGGUUUACAUAGAGAUAUUAACGUGCCGCGCAAUUUUCUACCAUCUAGAAGACUCCAGAAGCCACAGGAACGAACGGGAGGCCGAUCGGGCCUGGGGGCAGGGCGCCCGCCCAAGUCCCUUGGGUGCCCGCCUAGCUACAGUAACCAAUCAGCUUCAACUUCACGGAUCGUGCUCCACCGACCUAAGGGACCAAGGAAAACCGUGCGAUCAAUGUCGGUUUGAUCCGACGGCCCAGAUUCACUUGAAGGGACUAUAAAACCAGACCCCCUGGCCCCUGGAGAUCAUACCUCUUCUACAGAAUCAAAGCUAGGGUUUCAAUUCUUCAUCCAAGUAGAGAGGAUCCCUCUAGUUCUUCUAGUUCUACCUCUAGUUCAUCUAGAUCUAGUUCUAGUUCAUCUAGUUCUAGUUCUAGUUCCUCUAGUUCUAGUUCUAGUUAGUUCUAGUUGUAAUCUAGAAAAUAGGGAGAGAGAAGAGGAGAGCGGAGGAGGAGCCGGAUCUGUCGGAUCUUCCUCAACAUUAUACUUUUGCAGCAUCUGGUUCGUUCUUCAUCGUUCUCCAGGUUCUUCAAUUCAUAAUCCUGAGUUCUCUAAUUACUUUUAUUUACAUUCAAGUUAUUUAUUGGAUUCCCGCUUGCAUCAAGUGCUCUAGUCUUUAUAACGCUAGAGUAGUAAUUAAUAGAUUAGACGUGGUGUUUAGUCUUGCAAUUACCUGGAAUUGCACCUAAUCCUGCAGAUUGUUGUGGUAGCCUUAGGGUAGUGACAGCUCUAACGAUCGACGUAUUCCACCACGUUCGGAUCGGUGUUUGUAGGACCGUAGUCAGACCUUCCUAGCCCCCUUCUCAUCUCUUUCUGUGGUUAGUGCUCUGAUGUCCCGAUAUAGAUAAUCUUGAAGUAAUUCUCGAUUCUUAGAUCAACUAGAGAACUCUCAAGAAACUUCCUCUCUUCCCACCAAAAAUAAUUAUAUAGUUAUCCUUGAGCGAUCUUGGAUCUUAAUUAGUACACUCACGUUCUCUGUGGAAAAUCGAUACUCUGGAAUACUCCCGGGUGAAAGCUACAUCGGUAUCCGUGCGCUUGCGGAUUUUUUUCUGUUUGCGUUUAAAAUACCCAACAGCCAUAGACCAUGGGAGUCAACACGUCCUGCCCCUAAUUAUGAUCUGUGUCUGGAGUUGAUUGCAAUAGGUCAAAACCAACCCUUUUCUAUAGCCGAGGUCCUAUCUUUUAAUCAAGAAGUUAAUGCACUUUUAGCUACACCUAGGAAAUCUGUUAAUCUUUCUAUAAAUUUUGGUUUAGACCUAGCCCUACAAGACCAUGUCUUUUCUCGAUAUUUUUACAUUGGUCUUUAUCAUAUAACCUUUGGUGGAGUCUUUCUUUCUUUAUCUAUUAGUAAAGGAAGGUAUGUCUUCAUUCGUGGAUAUCCUUCUUGUACUAGUCUUCAUAGAAAAAUCUUAGAGAUAGAGAAGGAAUCAUCUCCCAAACAAGGAAAGGAAGUUUCAAUAGCCAAUUUCCCAACAUUUCAAUCCCAUGAUUCGCCUAUCCAACCCAUCCUUGAGCUUAAUAAUUUAUACUCUUCUCUUUCUCUUGAACCUCCCGAUGAUCCAAUGAAUCUAUCUAGACAUCUCAUUCAUAAGAGUCACCAAGACCACAAGGAGGAUUGAGAAGAGCAACAUCAAUGGCUAGAGGGCAUUAAAAAUCAAUGUGCUAUCACCAUUGAAUGGAUAGAUAAAACAAACUUGAGAGACAAUCCUAGAGGAAUUUUAAGCAUUCAUGAAGAAUCAUCCUUGGAGUUUGAGAAUGGGAGGAACAACAGUGAGCAUGGAAGUUAUUUCAUAAAUACUUCACCAAGUCCUUGUUCAUAUAAAACAUCUCUCAAAUCAAUUGGUCUCUCCAAUCUUACCACAUUUGAGAUCUCCAACCCUCUCUUCCUUUAUAUUUAUAACAACUUAAACAGAGCGGUUGUCGAUGCAUAUGUCUAUAAUAAAUAUUGCAGAUCUCGUUGAGUUGAUCUUGAUAUAGGUCAGCGUUAGAGGGGAAACCACUUCGCUGGCACAAAUUGAUGGUUUCCCAAGGACAAGCUUAGUGUCCUAAAACAAGCACUGAUCAGAUCGUAACUUGAAUUAUUUGCAACAUUACCUUGUGUAUCGAGCAUAUAAAGAUAAUUGUAGAAAUAUUCCUUCGGGUAUUCUUGCCACUAACCCUUCCAGGAUUGAAGCAAGAAGAUCGGAUGAAUGACAAGCACAAGGUAUGUCCAACCAACCAUCACACAACAUUGAAUUAAAUUCAUCCAAACUUGAAUUUUGCAAAAUUCAAGCUUGGGGGAGUACUUUACAUAAAAACAUCUUUUGCCAUGUUGCUACGUUGGUUGUCCUUACCUUUGAGACAUGCUAAAUUUGUUAAAUACUAAUUACACUACUUCAUCUCCACUUAAGUAGAUCUCUAUAAAUGCUCUCAAGCUAACUUUAUUUGCUUUAGUAUAUGUCUAGGCUUGGAAUAGUUUCAUUUAUCUCUUAAUUAAGCAUGGUGCUUAGUUUAGGAAUGAUGAUCUUACUUCCAAGGUAUUUUAAAUUAGGCAUGGUGCUUAGGUUAAAAUUCCCUUCUAAAUCAAAUUAGACAUGGUGUCUAGGUUGAUUUUUGAGCCGAUAGUAUGCUAUAGUAGAUUUGGGAUAUUUUGUUGGACUAACCCCUGCAGGAAAACUUUCAAUAUCAACCUGGGAAGUCCUGAGAUACAAACUCAUUGGAGAUAAAGGAGACACAAGAAGUUUAACAAUUUGCACAAGAAAGAUGUAGCUCAUAAGAGAUGAUUCAUGGAGAAUGCCACAAACACGAUGCACAACCGCUAAGAAAGGAAAGCUUCCACAAGGUGAUACUGUACCAUCACUAUUCAAGUAAGGUAACAUUUUAAGGUACUUGACUAUCGCUUUUAUAAGCUUCUCCUUGGUUCUAGCAUUCACAUAAAUAAAGAGACAAACAUGUAUGAUUUAUAACUCCAGAUUAACCAACUCAAUUAAUUCAUCAUGUUUAGUCCUUAAUCUUUGUUCUUAGUACUACCUUCGUGAUCCCAUACUCCUAAUCAUAUAAGUUAAAAUGUUGCACAUUCAAUCUUUGGAAGAUAUAAACAAAACAUAAAUCGAUUAUCUUUCCAUUACGUUGAGCCAUCUGAUCUAACAAAUGUUUUAAAUGCUACACUCAUGAUCCAUCAACUUUGUCUUGCUCACUAUGCUUAAGGUUAGAGAAGGACAAAUACACUUUUGGUUCUGUUGGUGUUUUCCACCAACAGGGCCCAUGCACUUGAUCUCUGCCUUGUCUCUAUGAAUAGGUACACUUCAAACAAAACAUGGAGGAGUUUUACAACUCCCAGAUUCCACCAAGUGAAGAAUCGGGAUCUACGAGCACAAACACAAUGAAGAUCAGACACUUAGUUUCCCAAAGGAAAUAUUGAAGAACCUCUGUGUCUGAGUUGGUACCUUGUAUGCUCCAGCAAACUUCGUGGUGAUAGAGACUGGUACUGAGGAGAGGGCACCCAUCAUCUUAGGGAGGCCAUUCCUAAACACCAGAGCUGUCAUCUACGCUAAUGCUGCCAAGAUCCGUUUCUACAUCAAGGGGGAGAAGGAGACUUUUCUUCAAGAACAAGACUACACAACUUCAGAGCAAUCCCGACAUGAGCCAAGGAAGAGGACCAACAGGAGGAACAGGAACAAGCAAAUGUGGACCGAGUCAGCUAAGAUGGUCAGUGCAGCUCAAGGAGGUCAAGAUCGUCGACUCAAGUCACCUUUCUUGAUCAAGAAGGACGACCCUGGUGUUCCAAGCAUUGACUGCACAAUCAACAAAUACUCUUUUUAGAAGACACUCUACGACACCGGAUCUGACGUCAACAUAAUGACCGCAGUCACUUAUCACCUCCUGCAUGGAACCAUGCCCCUACAACCAAUAUAUAUUUAGCUCCAGAUGAUUUUCAGGUCAUUGACAUGGGAGAAGACGAGUAUGAUCCACCCACCAUCCUUGGAAGACCAUUCCUCAACACUAUCAAAGCAAUCAUCUACAUUGGAACCGGAGAAGUCCACAUGCACUUCCCCUCUGAGAAGGUACGCCGCUAUUUGACUGACCCUAACUAUAUAGUUGAAGACUCUAAGCAGGUCAGGACAAGAAGAAGACAACGCAACCGCAACCAGAGGAGGCAAAUCAUCAAGGACGGAUGGACAGACUACAAAGGAGAAGUGGUAAGGUCUGAAGACAUACAGCUUGAACAGAACUGUCCUGAGGAGACCGUAGCACCGAGUCAGAUGUGGAAAGAGAAGAUAGUUAUACACGAAGAGGAGGCGCCGCCGGAACCACCGACUACGCCACCUAGCGAAUCCCAGGACGACUGAAAAUACAAGAAGUCCCGUUCAGAGGACUUAAAAACACCGAAUGCCUUGCCAAGAGGUAAACUUGGUAGUUAUCCUUUUCCAUUCAAUAGUUUGCUUAGUUAAUCAGGUUCAUAAAAGAAAAUAAAAAUGUUAAAAAAAUAGUAAGCCCCAUGUGAGUAUGCUCAUGGCAUAAAACCCAUAAGUACAUUCACUGUGGUGGCAUAAAAAUAAAAUAAAUAAGUUUUCAUCUUACAAUAAAAAUAUAAAAAUAAUAAGUGCAUGAUCCUGCUAAAUAAGUAAUAUUUAUUAAGGAGGCUCAACAUGAUAAUGGCUAGAUAUUUAUGCUAACACUUAACCAGUUCCACAAAGCUUUGUUGUCUAUUUGAGCUCCACAGAAUUCAAGGAUCAAAGAAGACUAGCAGACGGAGGACAUUCUAAUCGCUGUCGGAAUGCUGCUGACUUUCAAAUACACCUCUGCUACCUGCUAGCUACAUCAGAAGAAAUUACGUCAAAAUCCAGCUUGGGGGAGAGCACCCCCAUUUAUCCAGCUAAGUGUUUCUACUCGCGUUUAUACUUUACUCAAAUAAUAAAAGAUGCAUAAUCAUGAAAACUCAAAUAAAGAUUUUGUGCUUUUAUAUAUAUUUUUUUGCUUACUUUGCUAAAUAAAUAAAUAAAUAAAGUUUGCUAUGAACCCUCAUGAUAAGCUCUCAUAUGGAAAUGAUGAAUAGUUGCUCUGCCAUGACUAGUUCUUAAAAUUGAAAUCUCUCUCAAGUUUAGGCAUAACUGUUAUAAUUUAUACCUGCUUUAAACCUGAACUUGUGGGAAGAUUACUUGAUCUAAAGUCUAAGUUGUUAAUGGAUAUGAUAGGGAAGGUUGAGCUGCUGUUUAUCUGUUCCUAGAGAUGCUAGAAUUCUGGAGAAUUUUAUCUUUGAAAAUCUUUAAAAUAACACAUGAUGAGUUCCUAUAUGAUGAGAGUUUAAAUUCCUACCACAACCAUAUAUACAUGCUUGCUAAACUUUGAGCCACAUAUUUACUUUCUACUGCUUAUGAGCAUUGAGUGUGGUCAAGCUAUGUAGACCCUUAGUAGCUUGUCAUGUGGUUAAAAUCAAGAUUCACUUGCACAUUCACUCAUACAUGCUACUUCUAUUCCGGAAGUACGCAUCCACAUACAUCCACUCAUUUCCAUCUCUAGAUUCACCCAAAAUUAUUCUACUCCUAAUCCGGGAGAGAAUAGCCAAAAACAUUUUCCUAUCCCUCUUAUUCUCUGUGAAAUAAAUGCUCAAGUUAUUUUGGUUACUACCACUUGCUACAUUAUUUUAGGAGAUGAGUGCUCUAAAAAAAGAGAAAGAAAAAAAGAGAAAAAAAAAUAAAUACGAGGAAAUAAAAAGGGGCAAGUGCCCGGAACCUCGAAGAAAAGAAAAAGUGAGACGAGAGGUAAAAAUGGACAAGUGUCCGACAGUAGAAUUAGGGGUACAAGAUACCCACCUGAGAGGAAAGAAAAAAAAAUAUAGAGCAUCUCAUUCUCCCCAAAAAGCUUCAAAGUGCAAGAAAGGUAUGUAUCCCCUUAAAAGAGCAAAAAUAGAAUUUGACUUUCACCAUUAUUAUCAUCAUCAUCACCAUACACCAUUCAUUCGCCACACAUGCACAUCUUGAUUUGACUUAUUGACUUGUUUCUCUGGAUCCAUGGUUUGACUAUGCAAUAAAUGUCUUGUAAGUAUGUAUUAGCUGUCUCCCACCUAUGAGUUCCAGAUAUCAGAACCUUAUUAGAGUAGGGUGAGAGAGAAGGCAAUAUCACUAUGCCUCAUACCAAAAAUACCACAUACUUUGAGAGAAGGCAUAUACCAUUACUGCCUUGGUAAGGAUCCAGAAAUACCACAAAAGAGAGAUCUGAGAGAGUCAUAUAAGGAAUCUCUGAGUUUUAUUUUCUGCAAAAACCCCAGAGCUAUAGCUGAUCAAGAAUAAGAGACAUGGCGCUUGACUUGACCGUUCUAUCUUUUAACUGCUCAAGACACAAGUGACGGUUACAAGCCCCAUGGUGAAAGGUAAAAUGAGUAAGUUUUAAGUCUUAACAGUUUAUUCUAACUCAGAGAUGAGAUCUUGCUUGAAUGCGUGUGUACCUUUAAGAAAUGAAACCACUGCAGAAACUCUUGAGUUCAUCCUUGCUCAGGGAUGAGCAAGAGGUAAGCUUGGGGGAGUUGUUUACGGUCCUUAAGUAUCAAAUUUAAUUAUCAAAUAAACAAAGAAAAGGAUCCAAAUGAAAUCAACAUCUAGACUAAGGGUUUUAUCUGACAGAAUUCCACGAGUUUUGGUGUUUGUCUAUUUCUGCAGGGGGUUAUCAGGAAAUAAGAAAGAAAGGCCCACAUGUCAGGAUUACAUAGAGAUAUCAAUGCACCGUGCAAUUUUCUAACAUCUAGAAGACUCCAGAAGCCACGAGACCGAAGCGGAGGCGAAACGGGGCUAGGACCUGGGCGCCCGCCCAGUUUCCUUGGGCGCCCGCCCACCUGCCGAGCCCAAUCAUGACUCUUUCUCUCGGGAGAUCUCCACCGACCUAUUGGAUCCAGAAUAACGUAGUACCACCUCGCCUACCGACCCAAAAACGCAUAGAAGGGGAGGACUAUAUAAGGAGACCCCCCUGGCCCCUGGAGAAGACAAGAAAUUUUCAUAGAGAUUGAGGGGUGCCUUCGAAGGAAAACGUCUUCUCUAAAUAAUAUUUCUUUUUAGGCUUAGCAACCAAUGUAAAGUAGAAAUAGAUCUUCUAGUUUCUACUAGAUUGAGAGAGAUAGAGUGGAGGUGUGGAUCGGAGGAAGGCUGGCCUGUCGGUGUCUAUUCUGAGUUGUACCUACGGGAUCAAGUCUCCUAACCCGAGGCUUGCUUCUAAGAUUCUUCAGUAAUUCGACUUCUAAUACUAGUAAGUUCUUGUUUUAUUGUUCUUUGCUUUAUGAGUUUACUUUAAUCCUCUUCCGGUUGAGUAUUAGAGUAAUCACUUGUUAGCGUAAACGUGGUGUUUAGGCUAGGAUACUCAUAGAUAUCCCCUGACUAGCUGGACCGUGGUAGUAGCGAGGAACGUGACAUUUCCGAGUUAUCUUUGUAUCCCAUAUCUUGUUAGCAGGACGGGUAGGGUUAUAGGUGCGGGUCGAACAUCUUUUGUGUUGUCUAGAUUCCGUGAGCCUCCCCAAUAGAACAGUAGAUCAUCCUUACCAAGGUUAGAACGAGACUACGGUUGCAGUCUUCUCUAUACAUCACUCACAUCGAGAGACAUUCUUUGUAGCCUAAAGGGGUAGUAGCAAUAGAUUUGGUUAGUCAGAUGCACCCUUUCUCCCAGUGGUAAAAAUAUAAAUACGAUAACUCUGGAAAACCUCUCGGGUGAAAUGCUCAUCGAUAUCCGUGCGCUUGCGGAUCAUUUCCUUAUUGCGUUACCAAAUAUCAACAGCCACCGCGGCCAUCCCUUCCCCUUCCACCACCACCACCGCGGCCGCCCCCCUUCCCCGUCCGGGCAGCACCACCAUCGCGCCCCCACCACCACCGCCGCCACGUCGAGGAUGCGCAGGGAGAGAGAGAGAACGCGCGAGCAGGAGAGGCUCUCACCGCGGGGCGGCGUCGGCGUCGAGGGCGGAGGAGACGGUCACCGCGCGACGGCGUCGAGGUUGGCAACAACGGCGGCGAUGGCGGCGAUGGCGGUGGAAAAUUUCGGCAGCGUGUCAGCUUAGUUUGAAUGAACAAGGCGCCAAACUUAGAAAAUUUUCGGGCGGAGAAGACCUAGGGUUAUAUAGGCGGGCAUUAGUACAGGCGGUUUGCUUAGCCAAUCGCCUAUACAAAUAGAUUUUCAGUUUAUUUAAAGUUUUCCUUAUAUAUAUUUUUAGAAAUUAUUUAAAUGAUUCAAAAAAUCAUAUCUUUAAAAAUAUUUGUCCUAAAUUAGUGAAAAAACUUUUUUGUGUUCCUCUUGACCAGAGACACAUGUUAAAAAUAUGAAAUUUCAUGUUUGAGGUACUUUUGUAUGCAGCUUUUUUUAUAAUGAUUUAAAUUGAAUAUGUGCCUCAUAUCUUGGCGGCAUUAGUACUAAUGCAUUAGUACUGGCGGUUGGCUAAGCCAACCGCCUGUACAAAUGGAUUUUCAGUUUAUUUAAAGUUUUCCUUAUAUAUAUUUUCAGAAAUUAUUUAAAUGAUUCAAAAAAUCAUAUCUUCAAAAAUAUUUGUCCUAAAUUAGUGAAAAAAAUUUUGUUGUGUUCCUCUUGACCAGAGACACAUGUUAAAAAUAUGAAAUUUCAUGUUUGAGGUACUUUUGUAUGCAGUUUUAUUUAAAAUAAUUUAAAUUGAAUAUGUGCCUCAUAUCUUGUUUAAUACAUAAAUAAUUCUAGGAAUACCAGAAAAAUGUAAAUCCAAUUUUGUUAGCUUUAUUGUAGUGUGUAAAUGCUUUGAAAAAUAUAUUCCUUUGUGCAAUUUAUUGUUGACAAUAUAAAUGUGAGGAACCCAUAUGUUUGAGCAUAGUUCGGUGGAAUGACUCUUAUAUGUUUGUGAAGCAUGUAUGUUAUGCCUAUCUCCAAAUGUCUUGAAAUUUUUUUGGCAAGCUUCUACACUCAAAUGAUAACCCCACACAAGAUCUUAGGAUUUUCUGGUCAUGCAAGCUAUUAUUACAUUUUUCUUUGGGCUAAAUGAGAUGAAAAAUGGUGGACUACACCUAGAUCCCACUAGGUUUUUCCACCAACCACAAGGAAGUUUUAUUUCCUAUGGUAUAUAAGACCCUGUGGAGAAGUUUGGCACCAUUUGGAGUCAUUUCAGGGGUAGACUUAGUUCAAGCGCUAAUUAGUGGGUGACGUCGCACGAAAAUUCAAUUAAACCGGAUAAAGUAACAAACCACAUCAGAAAAAUCCCAAACUUGGUGGAUUGAACAUCAAUGGCACUAGUAACCCUUAGUAAAAGUUUGAGACCAGUACGAUAUCAAUGGCACUAGUAACCCUUACAUGUAGAAAUAGAAAAGGGCACAUAGCAUAAGGUACACAUUUUAUCAUAAAUAGAUUACAUGGCAAAUGACAAAGAAAAUCUAGGCAGCUAUUGUUCUUCCUUGUCCAUCGUGACGCACCCAGGGCAACGAGCUCCGUGGAAUGCUUCGCUCAACAUUCCUUAUCUUUACUGGAUGGUCGUCUACAAAGAGAGACAGGUCACUGAACUGGUUAAAUUCAUCCAAGUCACAUACACCAUCAACUCCGAUGGCUUGUUGCUUUCCAGGGAAAACUAUGUGCUUUGGAUGGUCCGUAAUUUUCUUCUUAUCAUUAGGAGAGAGGACCUGCUCAGCAUAGAAGACCUGUGCAGCAUGGUUACCCAUUAUCCAUGGAUCAUCUUUGUAGCCUACCUUGCUUAGAUCUAGAACUCUAAUCCCAUAGUUGUCCACUGUAACAUGUUUGUCUUCAACCCAUUGACACCGAAAUACAGGGAUCUAAAAUGUACCAUAGUCUAGUUCUCAUAUGUCCUCAACGAAGCCAAAGUAAGUUGUUUCCUCACCAGUUUCCGAGUCUAAGGCGUCGCAUCGAACACCACUAUUUUGUGCCAUGCUCUUUUGGUCUUUGGACUUGGUACAGAACUUGAAGCCACUAAUGUCAUAGGUUUGCCAAGUCGUGACCUGGCGUGAUGGCCCAGAUGCCAAGACCUUGAUGGUGCGAUCCUCGAGUGUUUCCCCAUCUGGAAUGUCCUGCUCCCUUAGCCAUGAGGUGAACUGAUUCUUAUGUUCCUUCAUUAUCCAUUCAUCUGUGUGCCCAUGAUUAUGUUUUUGAAGCUCUUCAAUGUGUAGAUUGAUCAAAGGCUCUAUUAUCGAGAGCUGAUGUUGGACGCUGUGAUGUGCUUCGAGGACUGAAUUGUAAUCUUUUGGGACGUAUGAUUUCUUUCCCAUCCUACCUCUUCCAUUCAGCCUACCCUCGUGUCGUGACGGAGGCAAACCUAUUGCAACCUGGUCUUUUAGGACCCUAUUGCAGAAUGGACCUCCGGACUCAAUGGCCUCUUCGGUUAAGUACCCCUCUACCAUAGAUGCCUCUAGACGAGCACGAGUUGAAACAUAGCCAUUUAGUAUUGACAUGAAGCGUUCAUACGUCCACAUCUCAUGCAAAUACAUGGGACCCAAUGCCUCUAUUUGUGAAACCAAGUGCACCACAAGGUGAAACAUCACAUCGAAGAAUGCUGGGGGGGAACACAUCUCAAACUGUGAAACUGUCUCCACUGCGAAUUCCUUAAGAGACGCCAACUCAUCAUGUUCAAUCACCUUCUGUGAGAUCCUGUUGAAGAAGUAGCACAACCGUGUAACUGCAACCUUUAUCCACAUUGGGUUUAUAGCCCUAAUGGCAAUAGGGAGAAAAGUAGUCAAUAUGACAUGACAAUCAUGUGAGUUUUAGUUGGUGAGUGUAAGGUCUUUCAUUGACACAAUACUCCGUAUGCUAGAGCAGAAUCCAGAUGGGACUUUCAAUUUCUUCAACCACACACACAUCUCAUGUUUCUCUUCAUUGUUGAGGUUGUAGCUUGCUGCCGGGAGGUGGUACUUCCCAUUUUCUAGCAUAACAGGGUGAAGUUCUUUUUUUAUGCCUAACUGUACCAUAUUCAAGUGUGAAUUUAAUCCUUCCUUUGUCUUGCCCUUCAUGUCCAACAAGGUGCCAAUUAUGCUUUCAAACACGUUCUUCUGAACGUGCAUACCAUCGAUCGCGUGGCGGACGUCUAACUCUGGCCAGUAUUCCAAAUACUCAAAGAAAAUUGACUUCUUCUUGAAUGUAGCCCCGGCUUGACAUUCUUUCUUGUUUUUCCAUCUUUUGUCUUCUUCCCAAAAACAAAUUUGAGUUUGCUGACUAUGCUGAAAACUCUUUAGCCUUUACUGUUACCUGAUGGAGCAGGAGUCUCUAGUUUACUAUUAUUGUCAAAGUACUUAUCCAUCUUUUUCAGCCGGUACCUGUGUCCUUUUGAUAAGAAGCGUCUGUGCCUCAUGUACACUAUCUUCUUAGAUGCAGUUAGGGACACGUAAGCGGUGUCAUCUAUGCAUACCACACAACCUAACUUUCCCUUGAACUACCCUGAUAAUGUAAAGAGAGCUGGGUAGUCAUUGAUCGUAACAAAGAUAAUUGCUCUCAGUGUGAAUGAUUCUUUACGGUACUCGUCGAAUAUUUGAACACCUGUUUCCCAUAGUAUCUUCAUGUCUUGCAUUAAGGGCUCCAAGAAAACAUCCAUAUCAACUCCAGGUUGUGUAGGUCUAGAGAUAAGGAUGGUUAGUAAAAGGUACUUUCGCUUCUGCAUCAACCAUGGAGGGAGGUUGUAGAUGGUGAGGAUCACUGGCCAUGUGCUGUGCUUGCUGCUCCUCUUAGCAAAUGGAUUCAUUCCGUCAGUACUCAGUGCGAACCUAACAUUCCUUGGUUCAUUAGCAAAGUCCUUGUGGUUUUCAUUGAAAUCUUUCCACUGCUGGCCAUCGGCUGCGUGCCGAAGCUUCCCAUCGUCUUUGUGCUCAUCAGAAGAAUGCCAGGUCAUAAGUUGGGCAUCCUCUGGGUUAGCAAACAAGCACUUCAACCGAUCAAUCACAAGAAGGUACCACAUCACCAAAGUAGGAAUCUUUUUCUGCGCAUAAUAGUCUACUUCUUCCUUUUCUUUGCCGGUGGGUUUUGAACUACUCUUCUGGGUCUUUUGUUGGGCCUUCUUUCGUUUUUUGCCCUUAGGCACAGAGGCAACACACUCUUCCUCUAUGUAGUCUUUAUUUGUCUUGUACCUACUUGCACCACACUUGGGACAGUUGUCCAAGUCUCUAUAAUCAUCGCCUCGAUAUAGGAUACAAUGAUUUCUACAAGCGUGGAUCUUCUCAACACCCAUUGUGAGUGGGCUGAUUAGCUUCUUUGCAUAAUAUGUGUUAGCAGGCACUUUGUUAUCCUUAGGAAGCAUGUCUGCGAUAAUGCUUAAGAAUGCAUCAAAGCCAGCAUCAGAAAGACCAUAUCUAGCUUUGCACACCAACAAUUUUAGCACAGACCGCAGCGUCGUGAACUCUUUGGUGCAACCCUUGGACUCAUCAUACAAAGGCUCUUCUGCUGCCUUCAUUAGGGCCUCCAUACCUUUCAUGAAGAACACUGAUGGAUCUUCCGCAUGACGACGCAACAUUGCCUCUAGAAAUUCUGCAUCUUCCGCAGCCAUGCUAGUUUCGGUGCCAUCUUCAUUUCCUCCAAUAAAACCAUGAUGAGGAACAUUUGGCACAACAUGUUCAGUGGCUAGACCAUCGGUAUUAGGUUGUUGUGUCUCGUGUACGAACUCAAACCCGUCAACAAUUCCAGUUGUAUAAGGCGCAGAGCUACCCUCUCCAUGCUUUGUCCAAAUCAAGUAAUCUUUCAUAAAUCCUCGACGGACCAGAUGAGUAAGGAUUUGUUGAAUAUCAUCAGAUACAACAAGAUUUCUACAAUCCAUGCAUUGACAAUGUAUGUGCGUCUUUCUUGUUCUUGAAGCAUAGUUUUGAGCAGCAUCAAUAAACUUCUGGACCUCAGUUAUGUAUGAUGGAUCUAGUCUUGAUAAAUUAUACAUCCAAAAUGACCUCUCCAUCACUACCUGUAAAACAUCAUUCAUAUGAUCUAAGGGUUUACCAAGGAUUUAUCUAGGGUUUAUUAGCUAGGGUUUAUGGUUAAGCUUGAGAUUAAAGGAAAAAACCUAAGUUACAUAAUUAAAAAAUAAUCUAAGUAUAGCAUAACUAUAUAAAUACAUCAUUCAUUAUAAAUUGAUAGAUGAUGUGGAAGGUGAUAAUAAAAAACCUAACUAGCAUAUAAUUAAAAAAAUCCACAAUUAUCUCUCUACAUAAAUAUACAAAGAACACACCAUUGGUUUAAUCUUGUAAAAACUAGCUAAAUUGAGAAGCAAACAUGUUGAGAGGCAUUAUCCAACCAUAUUAAGCAACCCCAUCUAACCAUAUCAACAAAUAAAGACAAGAAGCUAGCUAUUCUUCUCUCUCACUCAUAAAACAUACAUACAUGUUGAUAAAUAAAUUGAAAAUUUUAUAAAGAGAGAGAGACAUAAAUUAGAAAACCUAAGUAUAGCAUAACUAUAUAAAUACAACAUUCAUUAUAAAUAGAUAGAUGAUGUGGAAGGUGACAAUAAAAAACCUAACUAUCAUAUAAUUAAAAAAAAUCAAUAAUAAUCUCUCUACAUAAAUAUACAAGAACACACCAUUUGUUUAAUCUUGUAAAAACUAGCUAAAUUGAGAAGCAAACAUGUUGAGAGACAUUAUCCAACCAUAUUAAACAACCCCAUCUAACCAUAUCAACAAAUCAAGACAAAAAGCUAGCAAGUCUUCUCUCUCACUAAUGGUGAAACCCUAGAUCCAAAAAGUGGCUCAAAUUGAGCUAGAAUGAGCAAAUUGAGGCAAUAGGGACAUAAACUAACCUCUUUUAGCAACCUCCUUCCUAGAAAUGAAGAUCAAAACCUCCCCUCUUGUAUUCUGAGAAAUCUGGAACUCCAAAAUCGCCCCCAAUGGAAGGUGGGUGCAAGAUACUGUGUUCUGGUCGGGGAGGAAGAAGGGGUAUUUAUACAGAGAUAACACAGGCGGUUGCUUAAGUCAACCGCCUGUGAAAAACGUUUCCACAGGCGGCCGAAAAUCUCUGACACCGCCCGAUUUAUACCACAGGCGUGUCGUAACUGGAACUGCCUGUGGUAUAAAAAGGGGGCGCCAGCAAUGACCCUAUUUCUACUAGUGGAAGGACAUCGUCAAGCCAUGUGGCUAAAUAAAAAUGCAAAACAUGGAUGGACAAUGUAGUGAUGUGUGAUCAAAAAAAGAAAUGGGCACAUGGACCAAUAAAAAUACAACACAUGAUCCAAUGAAGAAGUGACCCCUCGUCCAACCACAACACGAUGAGUGUGCCCAUAGAAAACUUACAUGUAGUAUAAUGAGAACCUAACAUGUGGUCUAGUAAGAACCUAAAACAUGCAAGGACAAGAGAUGGUCAUGUUGUGUAAUAAGAAUGUGACACAUACCAAAACAAUCUCCAAUGCAAACGGCUAUAGCAUGUACAUGUGGAAAGCAUCUCCAACAGAAGCAACCACCAGCAUGGCAGGCCCCCUGCCACGCAUGCCAAAAUAGUUCUAUGACAUUCUAUUUUUUCAUAGAUCAAGCCACUUCUAUGAUGAUUUGGUGAAAAUGUCAUAGAAGUUCAUGUGUGAUGUGACUUUUAUGACAAACCAUUUUUCUUCAUAAACUUGAAAUUAUGACUAAUUUGGCUCCUUCAGUGAUGAAUUGCACAUAUCAAAGGCAAAGGGCCUGAUCCUGUAGAUAGACUUUGAAAAAGACUUUGAUCGAGUUAGAUGGGAUUGUUUGGAAAAUGUCAUGGAAGGACCCCAGCAAUGGAUCUCUUAGGUUAUGAAGACUGUUAGAGGAGGGAGAGUAUGUAAUAAUGUAAAUGGAGAAUAGAGAAAUUAUUUUAGAACCUAUAGGGGUUUGAGGCAGGGGAUCCUCUUUCCCCUUUACACUUCAACUUGGUAGCAGAUGCUUUAGGAAUGAUGUUACAAUAAGCUUUUGAAAGAAGCCAUAUAAAGGGGGUACUAACUAAUUUGAUUCCUAGGGGUAUUUCCCACAUCCAGUAUGUAGAUGACACAGACACCAUGGUUAUGCUUCUAUCUCUUCAAUCACAAAUAUCAAGCUCAUCCUAUAAUAUUUUGAGUGGCUAACUAGGUUGAAAAUCAAUUAUCAUAAUAACGAGGUGUAUAUGUUUGGGGCAUCACAAGGAGAGAAAGAAAUGAUGGGUAAUAUACUUAAUUGUGUCUUGGGUACUUUUCCUAUGAAAUACCUUGGGAUUGUGUUAUAAACACUUGAGCAUGGGUUACUUAGAAAAUGGAUAAAAGAUCGGAUGAAAGGAUGAAAAUGCCUAGAGGUGGUGAAUAGGCGUUUCCUAAAAUUCACAAACUUUUGCGGCAGAUUAAAUCAUGAGUAUCAAAAUUUUUGGUCCCAAGCAAAAUUGGUGGACUUGUCUAAAAUUCCAUUGAGGAUGAAAAUUUUGAAUCUCAAAGAGUAGUGAACUAACUAAUUACAAAUUGAAAUGCUCAAAUACUAAAUUGAGUUCACCACGAAAGAAGAGUAGGAGUACUAAGUGGAUCCACAGCUUUUGCUUCAUCCUUCACCUAUACACAGUAUAUAUCUUUCCACCACAACAAAAGAUGCAAUCACAAAACACAAGCACAUAGAGACACAAGUAUUGAUCCUAAGGUUCAAUCACACCACAAAGUUGUGCCUACAUCCUCAUUGUUGAAGCAACCACAAAGGUCCUUAGUGUCUCUUUGAACUCUCCUCUUCCCAAGCAAUCACAAAGAUCAAGCUAGGAUUUCCACUAGAAUGAAAGGGUAAUACAAACUUCUCGGGUGCCCUCACAAGUUGGAGUCAUGGCAUCACCAGGCAACACCUAGCUUGCUAGGGUUCUAAGAACCCAAGAGUAAUAGAGCAAAAAUCAAAUCACCAGCUGGUGCCACAAGUGCUUAAGAGAAGGAUCUUACUCCUAGAGUUGAAAUCCAAGGAGAGCUCACUCCAACCUCACUCACAAAGAUGGGAAUCAAAGCAAGUGUGAGAGAGAGUGUGGGAGUUUGAGAGAGGGCGCAAGAGUCUUUUCCUUAUGUAACACCCUAAAAAUUUUUUCUUUUUCAAAUAGGUGAAAAAGAUUUAAUUUUGUAUUUCUGUUCAUGAAAUAUAGAGAAAUAAUAUUUUUUUUAUUAAAUUAAAAAUUAUCAUAGGAGUUUAGCAAUAUGUUUGAGAAUUCAUGCCUUUGCAUUUGAUUUAUUGAUGGGUGUGUGUUUGACAAAAGUUCAAAAUAUUUCAAACAGAUUUAAAACGGAUUUUGAAAUGAGUUUGAAAAUGGCUCUUAAAUAAAAGAAAAAAAGAAAGAAGAAAACAAUUUCCCCCUCGUUCUGGCCCGAAGGCCGAAACCCCCCCCCCCCCCCCGCGACCCAGCUUUCCCCCGCCCCGGCCAAUUCGCUGCGGCCCAGCACGCCAUUUCCCCCUCCCCCUCGCCUCGGCCCAACGCGGCCCACGAACGCGCACGCGCUGGCCCUCCCGUCCUCACUGUCUCCCUUGGCUGGCAAGCGGACCCCGCAACUUCGGUCACCGACAGGUGGGCCCCGCAAGUCAGGGGUUUUCUCCUACCUUGAGUCGGGGGCGAGCAGGACUCUGUCCCGACCCGAACCCUGAGAUCCGUUUCCAAAUUCUUUCGUGAUUUUGCGUGAUUCGUGGCUUUUGGUUCUAUAAAUGGGUUCGGGAAUCAUGACGCCUUCUUUCCUUCCCGUUUGCGUGGACGCGAGCUCCAUCCUGCCCUAGCCUAGCUCGCAAGUGCCGCCGCCAUCCUGCAGAUCGACGCCGAGCAUGGAUCGGCGCUUCCACCGUGAUAUUGCCUCCGUAAGCUUGAUGUCGGGCUUCGAAACGAAUUUGCGAAGUCCCCGGACCCUUUUUUCCCUCGUUCAUUGCUUUGGUUUGAUCUUAAUUGGGUGCCGAAUCCUCAGCAGGAACUUCUAUCCGCGAAAUCACGUGGCCGGCUAAUCCCGAGCCUUCCCCGGCCUCGUAAACUCCCUCGGUGAGUUCCCUAUGUUCCUCUCUUGCUUCCCGUGCUUUCGGUUCAAUGAAUCGUGCAUUAAAUCGCGUAAUCAUCUAACUCCGGCGAGCUCCUCCUCCCUCCGGCCAUGGCGCCGCUGGGAAACUCGCCGCCGGCCACCGCGGGCUCCCUGGAAGCCUCCUGGGCCGUAGAAUCUUAAAUCGACGCACGAGAUUAGAAGUUACCCUUUCAGGGUAACAUUUGCUAAAGAGUCCCCGAAAAAGUUCAGAUUAGAACCCGCCGUCCCUUGGCGGAUUAAGUGGUUUACGCUUUUCGUUUCGGAAAACGUAUUCUUACCGACUUAAAAGAAAAUACGUUUUCUACUAUUUACGGUUUUGCCACCAGAUUUAAAUCACUUAUAACAUGCUCAUUUUUAAUCCGUUUUUGUCCAGUCAAAUUGCGUUAGAUUCGUCUUUUCGAGAUCUACGUGUUAGUAUCACUGUCUUCUCAGUAUGAAACUUUUUAAUUUCGUGAUACUAUUUAAUUAAUUAUUAUUCUACAGGAAAUCUUAGAAAAUUCAUAUCUUCUACGUUUUAACUCUGAUUUUCGUGAACUUUACGUUUGUGUGAUCGUAGCGCUGCGUAGAAUAUUUUGAUAAACUUUUAUAUUUGUUUUACUACUGUUUGGUGUAUUGUUCUAAUUAUAGUUUGUUUGCUUCGUGUAUGAUUGUCUACAUUGGAUUGCGUGUUGUUGAUUGAUGAUCGGGUAUAGACGGUGAGCGAUACGUUGGUGAUCAAGAUCAAGCUUUUGACGACCAGCAGCAGGCUCAAGAGAGCUUUGAUCAAGGCAAGUAUAACUUGGUAUCAUCCUUGUUACCUAUACACAAUUAAUACAGUAUAUAUCAUAUGCAUGUGUCCACCUUGAUGACCUUAGCAAAAUCAUAGAUGAUUGUUAUCCUGGAUUCCUUGUUACCUAUUUUGGAUAUGCAUUUGGUAGUUCUUGCUAGUGCUUGAUUAUUAAUCCAUGAUCUUGUAACAUGAAUAUUUGAAUAUACAAUAAACAAUAAAAUAAGCUUUCUAGCAACUUGAAUAUAAAGGGUGGAAAGAACUCUGGCUUUUGCUGGAUUGAUCUUGACCCUCCAUAAGGACUUAUCCCUUGGCAAAAGCUGGGACAACUCAUACAACCAUGAGGGCUAUAUAGCUCUGGGUUUAGUCAAGUAUGAGUAAGCUUUUCUAGCUUGUUAGAGGUUACCCGAAAGGGCGGAGGGGCUGAACCGUUUUGGGUAUAGUGUGAGCCCCUGUCCCUAUGUGUAUAGGCUGCGCGUCAUUGUGCCAUUCGGAAGGGGGGUAUCUAUAUCUGCGUGCAAAGGAAACCUUGCGGCCCUAACUUGCUAGACGAACCUUUGAAAGACUUCAUAGUGAACCCUGCCGACCUUCCUUGGUAGUGGGUUAAGAGGUCGACGGGCCUCGGGCGAAAGGGUAAAUCAUGACUCAUGGGUAAAGAUGUACAACCUCUGCAGAGUGUUAAAUCUGGUAUACUAGCCGUGCCCACGGAUACGGGCGGCCCAGAAAACUGACGGAAUAGAUGGUCACUGAUGAAUAUGAUUAAUGAUGAUAAAUGAUGGUUUAUUAUAUUGUUUAUAUGUGUUAUUCUUAAUUCUUGUAUACAUUGAUCAUGUGGUUAUGGGAUUUACUAUGCUACCUUGACAUUUGCUACCCAAUGAUUAAACAUGCUAUCAACAAUUAAAAGCUAAAUGCAGUCAAACCAGUGUCAGCUGUUUGAGCCUCAUGAACCCCUGGUUAUACUUGUUGAGUACGAUAUGUGCUCACUCUUGCAAUUUCCCCCACACCUCAGGAUAAGUUUUGGGCUUGUGAUCAACCAGUCAGUUGGAUCCUGUGGAGAGAAGUUAAUACCCGAAGUUGAAGCUGCCUAUCCGCUGUUUGCUAUUAAAGGUUAUCUCUUUUAUGUUAAGUACGUUAUAUAUCUACGCAUUGUCUUUUGAUAUUACCCCUUAUUUGUAGCUAUAUGUGAGAUUUGGUUUCUAAAACUCACAUAUGGUGUAUAUCUGGUUUUGUCCUUAAAAUCGGGUAUUACACCUUAGGGUUGAAGAGAAUGAAAAUGAGCCAAGUGUUGGUAAAUCUUAGCAGCACCGCUAGAAUAGCGAUGUCACCAGAGAUGCCAGGUGUGUUUUAAUUCUAGACUAGUGGAUAAUUCCGCAAGCGCACAAAAUGUACCGAUGUAGCUCUUCACCCGGGAGUAUUCUAAGGUAUCAUAAUUUAUAUUUUCCCAAGGGAAAGCAAGCUAGGAUGUGUAAUAAGAGAGAGGAGAUAUCCUCGUGUUUACUAUGGCCUAGAGCUAACUAGUGGACUACGGGGUAAACGAUAGAUAGGAUAAAUGAUAAUCAAAGUAAAGCUUAAAUCCUAAUCUAAGGUAACUAGUAGUGAUAGCUAGGUGGGAGGACAACAAGUGAGUAUAGGACUCCUAUGAUGCUAACUUAACUCUGGUGGACUCGAUCCUAAUAGAUAGAUUAGAUACAUAAACUAACCCUUACUACUUGUGUGAGGGUAGGAAACAAAAGAGAAGGAGACAGAACCCCUGCUCAAGCGAGACCAAACUUAUGUACGCCCUGCACUUAGAAACUAGCCUCGACGUGGUGGGAAUCCUAAUGCCGAGCCCGAACUAUCACUUUAGGCCAGUGCACCCACACACCUUCCGUAAAGACUAGUGGCUACCAAUGAUAAGACUAUGUAUGAACACCACGUUCACACUUACUCUUACAACUCUUACUAACGAUCAAAUUAGCUCGAGCUCCUAGAUUAACUUAGGACGCUCAUCUACACACAAGGUCUGGUUCCAGGGACCAAUCCACUAUAACAACUAUGCUACUAAGACUUAGCACACUACAAAACUAUAAAGAGACUUGCACAAAGUAGUACUAAAAGUAAUACUAAGAAAAGUAAAGAAAGACUAAUAUAUUAAAGUAUAGUACUAAAGGAAAGAUACAAGAACAAUAUCAGACUCUCCAGAAGGCGACUCUGGAGACCCUGAGCUUGCUUGACUCAACUCAAACUCCCACUACUAGACUAACAACUACUUGAUCUCUCAAGCUUAUGAGUAUGAAGAUGCAAGAAGAGAGAUUUACAAGUGAGGAUCCAUCAGCUAAUUAUAGAUGGAGGUGGAGUAGGGGCUACUCCAGCGCCACAUCAACGAUCCGUGUGAUGUUGCUUAAUAGCCCUUGGAUGCAACCGACCUUGGAACCGCCUCAAAUCCAAUGGCUAGCAUCAUUUUAGCAUGUGUGAAAUGUGGAGAAGUCGGUGGGAGCAAACUGACCUCGACUGGCCACCAGGGGGGAUCGGUCGAUCCUCCUAUGGUAGGUGGGGCCAGCCUAGGUCGGUUGGCUGGUGUCCCCAUUUGUCAUAGAGUCUGGUUCUCCAUCUUGUUGUACUUUGUCAUGCCGAUUCUUCUGACAUGUGGACCCAUGAAUCUGUGUGCUCCUAAUUUCAGCCGUUGAGAGAAAGCACACUCUGAUCUGAAGGCUGAGAAUUGCUUCUAGGAGGUUGCCUUGGAUCAUGCCUACAUGGCAUGUUGAGGAGGUGGCACAGGGGGAUCAGUCGAUCCCCCAUGUGGGCCCAUCUUGGUUGCUUUUUGUGCCAUUUCAUGCUACCUACAAAUCACAAGCUAAGAGUACAAGUGGAACUAUUUAUUGAUAAAAUGUGUUCAUGAAUGUUUAAUCUUCCUUGAAACCAAGGCUUGUUGACGGUGUUUUGGAUGUGCAUUUUGAUGCUAUAAUUACCAUCAACAAGAUCCCACAAUCUUAACCUUUGCUUGUCUCAAGCAAAUAAUUAGGACUUGGCCUCGGUGGAUCAGGUAAAGUUACUAUGCUAACAUUUCAAGAGUGCUAGGUGCACAACAAAGUUCUUCUCCUUGAAUGAAAAAUUUAGCUAAGUAUAACUCACCCAUAUUACCCUAGUACUCUAUGGGGCUUAUGGCAUUUUCCUUUGUCUUGAGUGGUUGAAGGAUAGAACAGUUAGACCAGAGCACUAUUUUUCUUGAUCUUUAGCAAGUUUCAUACCGGAGGUUUUGUGACAUUUUCAAAAGAAUUCUAAAGUGUUCCUCAAAUGGUUCUCUCAAGUCGCUCAAUGGUCUAUGAUUCCUUACCAAGGCAUAUAAUAAGUUGCCUUCAAAGUUUCAUCAGGCUUAUGUGGAGCUUAAGGUAUGGAUGAAAGAGAUGGCAUACUUACUUUGCAUAAGUUGCGCAGUCAAAACUCGGAUCCUUGUAGAGAAGUGUCAUACUCCCAGAUCAAGAUGUGCAAGUGUAAGGAAUGGAGUGGAUGGUGGUAUAUGUGGAAUGGAUGGUGGAUAGGUUGCUCCUCUAAUUGAUGACUUCUCUUUUUCUACUGAGGCAAGGCUAGAGUCUAAUUGCUUUCUUUCUUUCCCCUCUCUCUUUUUUGAGAGAGAGAGAGAGGGUAUCUCUGAUAACUUGAAAGGAACUAAUACUUAUUCAUGCUAGCCUUUAACUAUGCCUCAUAUACCAAGUGUUAAUCUUAGAGAGAAUGAAAUGUUUGACUUUUAAAGCAUGGAGCAACCCAUAUGGUGGAGAUGUUAUGAAUGCACACUUCCAAAUUAGAAGUGGCAGAGGGAUAUGUAUGAAAGGAGUUGCAUACUCCCAGAGUGGAAGCAACAUGGUGGUGUGGUGUAUGGGUAAAUGUGUACUUCCAAGAUCGAGGUAGCAAUGAGUUUGUGGCUGGUUGAUUACUGAUCUUAGGAGCAUGAUAAAUCUCUAAACAAGGGUCACAAGCCUUGAUCACACUCAACACAAAGCAAAUAGCAUAUGUAGAAGGUUUGCAACAUUGUAAAGUAUAUUUGGCUCUGGUAGAAAUUUUAUAACCACUGAGGAACAAAUUAGUUUUUUGGUCAUUUUUAGAAAAUAAAUCUCCGGUACUCAACUGGCUUAGAACAAUAUUAUAGCUGAUCCUAUCAUACUAUCUCGUAUCCCUCAAGGAUUUAGACGUAGUUAUUAGAACUCGCAACCCACAAAGUUUCAGGUUCAUGAUGGUCUAGUGAAGCUAAGUAAUUCAUACUUGGAGAAGCACUAAGUUGUAAACUAGGCACUAGAGAAACAUUAACAAAGCAACUACUCAUCAUUUCCCAAAGAAAGAUAACCAUUCACGAACAUGAACUAAGGGAAAUAAGUAAGCUAAAUAUUUUUAGUCUUUUUAAAUAUAAGAUGCAGAAAAUAAAAGAGUGGAUAGCGAGAUACUCAUCUGAGUGGAGAGAGGAUCUCCCCUGUAACACUCCUAGUGUUAGCUUGCAUGUUAACCAUGAGCAUUGCAUCCACAUGAGCAUCAUACCAUGAUCACAUGUCACUUUGUGUAUAUCUCAUGUGAAUUGAUUGCUUAUUUACUUGUAUGUGUGUGAGUAGUGUAGGACCAAUGUAUUUAAGUACACAUGGUUCUCCAAAAUACUUUAUUCAUGUUUAGAAUAUCAUUUGGAACCAAGUUUAUGUUGGAGGUGUCCUCAAAAAAUGCCCCUAAGUCAUGGUUAACCCUAGGUUGACCUAGUUGACCUCCUAAACCUCUUUUCAAAGACCUUUUAUGAAACCAGUGUUAGAGACCUUCCAUGUAAAUGACCUCUAAAGCAAAGUUGUAGUAAAUUUUAUAAGCUACAAAAGUUGUUUUGGUACCUUUCCAUGAAAAUUGUUGGAACAUAACCAAAAGUGGCCCACAAGACAGAAAUCAGUGCUGUUUUCAAUACUUAGGCGAAUUUGGUUAAGUCUGGGUUUUCAUAUUCGAGGUAGGGUGCUUGGGAGCCUUGUAGUUUGGAUUCUAGACCAAACUAGACUUUGAUCCUUUAAGCAAACUUGUAGAACUCGUGUAGCUCUAUCCAUUGGGACAAAUCCGAGCAAAAACCACCGAGUGAAUGGUGAGUAAAACGUCGACGAAAAUCAGGUUUCAGUCAUUGCACUCGUGAGCUUCACACAUUGAUUCAGUUGGGCAGAGCUUCACCCGCCGCCGCGUGUCCGGCCACCUAUCGGCCGUACAUCGACGGCAACCCCGCCAGUCAGCACCAACACGUCCACUUGAGCGCCACACACCUCCUAGACGCCUCAAACGCGCCACUCACCCAUCCAUAGCUCCACAUUUCGCCCGCCGUCGUCCUCGACGAGCUCCGCCGCACUUCGGCGAGCUCUCCCGGCCGCGCCACCGCGUCCCGAGCCGAGCUGCUUCGCCCAGAGCUCCGUCGUGACAUCCUCUACUCAUUGUCCAUCUCUUUUCCCCAGCUGAGCACUGGUUAGGCCACAUUGUCAACUCCAUCGCGAGCUCCACCUCACCUUGUGAUCCUUGGAAAGUGGAUCUAAGCUGAACCAUAAUUUAUUGGUCAUAAGGGAGAAUUGCUGGUUGAGGUCACGGGUGAGACAGAGGAGCAUCCCACACCAGAAUUUCUGGCUAAGUGAGGAGAAUUGUCAGUUGAGGGUUCUCUGUGAGAGGCGUCCUCCACACCAGAAUUUCUGGUUAAGGAAUGAGAAUUGUCGGUUGAGGGUUCUAUGUGGGAAGGAAAUAUGUUGUGAUGUCUAGGAAAUAUAUACUUGAUCAAUCGAGCACUUAGGACACCUGCAAGUAAUAUAAUUUUGAUCCCUCUUUAUAGUAUGGCAUCCUAUAACUCCUUUGAAGUUCAAAUGAAAUGAAAAUUAAAACUGAACUCCCCUCUAGUUGAAGUGUGACGCUACAUAUUUCUUUGAAGUAAUAAUUGAGGGGUCUCAUGUUUCAAUUGCACUUUUUCACAUUGGUAUUUAAGUGAAAAACUCAUGAAACAACACAAGCUCUUAUAUGCAUUAUCAUUAAUUUACCAAAACCCACAAAAUAGGAUUUGUUGCACUUACACUAGAUCCCUAGAAAGGGAGGUUUCUAACAUCUAGGUGCAGACAAAUACUGACCACUUCCUAUCUUAGCAGCAUUCCUUUGUAUUAUAUGGGUUUUUACUUGCUCAAGGAUGGGGAUCAUAAGUCUAUGGAUAGUAUAAGGGCUAAGUUCCUUUGACAAGGAGCUAAAGGUAAAUUUAGAUACCAUAUGGCCAAGUAGGAAAUGGUAACUAGGCCCAAAGACCAAAAGGGCUUAGGGAUUAUCAAUACAACCAUUAUGAAUGAGUGUUUACUAGUCAAAUCGAUGAUGAUAUUUGGUUUAAAAUCCUUAAGGCCAAAUACAUGAGUGAGAAUGGUUUCUUUGCUUCAAAAGUGAUUAAAACCAAACACUUGUUCAGGUGGGGAUCUAUGUUGAAGGUAGGGACUGGCAAACAUUAUAAAUUUUGGGAUGACUUUUGGAUGCAUAAUGUGCCAGUAAAGCUUUUAUAUGAUGAUCUAUACAAGAUGGCUAGGGAGCCUUCUUGUUUUGUAGCGGACUAUUGGGAGGAUGGAACAUGGGUGGUGGACUUUGUGAGAUGCUUCUAUAUUCAAGAAUAUGGGUGGUUAGGACUUCUUGAAAACUUGAAUGAUAUGCCCUUACAGACGUUGUGAUGUGGGCGAGAUAAUAAACGACAUUUCUCCACUAAAUCUCUUUACAGAUUUAUUAUUGACUAGGGGUCUCUAGUAGAGUUGCUGGUUGUAUCAGGAAAAGCAAGGUGCCACUAAAAAUAAAGUUUUUCCUUUGGCAAGUAUUCAACAAUAAGGUGCAAGUAGGUGUUAACUUGAUAAAGAAGGGUUGGAAAGGGAAGAAAACUUGUGUAUGUGGAGGUCUAGAAUCCAUUGAGCAUAUGUCUUUUCAUUGUAACAUGGAGAAUUUUGUUUGGGGCAUCAUCAAGGAACUAUUCCAAUUAAGUUGUGUUCCUUCUUCCUUGAGUGAUCUUUCCAUGAUUGAUAACCCGAAUAUUUGCUACCGUUUUAUGGCUCUUAAUAAAAACUAAGGUAAACUCUUUUUUUUUUUAAAAAAGGUACUGUGUUACACCCAUUUCUUUUUUUUAACAGCGUUACACCCAUUUCUAUACUUACAUGAAACCAGAUGAUUUUUUUAAAUUUUUGAGGAGAAUGAAACCAAAUGGCUGCUUUUUUUAGGGGGAAAGCCAAAUAGCUACUGGACUUGUCGAGUGUGGCAAAUGUCUUGGCACGCUGGGCUUUUGGAAGGCCAUCAAUUGUUGCACUGGCUCUGGCACCCCGCGCCCACCAAACAACAGGGUGGAUUGUGAGAGAGGGACAGGCAGGCGGCGAGCAAGGAAUUUGAGCUGGGCACGCGGCGCGAAGGCCGAGGGCUCGUGCCCAACGGCCUUCUCACUCAGCCCAUCUCGUGCCCACCUCCCCUCCCUUUUCUGACCCACGACCCCCACCCCUCUUCAUCCCUCGACUACAAAUGCGGCGCAACCGUGGGCGCAGCAGCAGCCGGCGAGUGUGUAGCAGGAUGCUCUCGCUCUCGCCAUCGCAUCGCGCACAGUAGACACUCAAAUCCGAUUGCCGAGGGGGAGAAGGCGGAGACCCGUUGCAACGGCUAGUUGCGGCGGCCCGAUGGACCCGUCGUCCCAUGGCGGCGGCGCCGCCGAUGGAAGUGCCGACGGCCAUAGCCAAAUGUGGGUGAGGGGGGCCCGACUCGUGUGCGUUGAUCCGCGUCUUUGGGGGACUGGUCUCCGCUCGCGUUUUUGUUUGAGGGGGAGGAGGUUUUGGUUUGGGACCGAUGCGCCGCCGUCGUCUGAUGAUGCGAGACCUCGCGCGGUCGUGCCGGCAAGCUGAGAUCCGCGCCACCGACGGGGGAUUCCGGCGGCUGUUGGAUCGCGUCGGCGAUCUAACAGUAGAGAAAUCCUACCGAAGCAGCGAUCUGGUGUACCGGUUUUGGCGGAUUGGGAUGAUCCAUCCGCCGGUCCUUGGUCCUGGGUUCUCGUCCCAUGAAUCCAAAUCGGAUUGGGAUUCGAUCUGCUGGUUGGGAUGUCUUUUACGAUGAUGCGCGCUAUGGGCUGCCGAUUUGUUUGUAUCCAAAUCGGAGAUUAGGCUGACGCGGCCGCUAAAGCUUGGAUGGGGAGGAUAUUGGACUGGCUGGGGCUGGAAUUGGCGUGCGUAUGCUGUUCGUUGUAGUGCCUCACUGCUGGUGAUAAAGUUUCUGUGUUGCUAGCCCUUAAUUCUUUGUUUCACUGGAUAAUUGACCUUACAUACCAAACUAAAAUUAAAAUCUUAUUAAAAUCUGUCUACUGCCUACAAGAGUAGCUUCAUGACCUGUCUUAGGUUUACAUGAUUCAACUUGUACCCUGGCUCAAUUGAGCCAAAGCUUGGAUGGGGGAGGAUAUGGGUUCACAGGGGCUGGAAUGGGGCGUGUGUAUGCUGUUCAUUCUAAUGCCUGAUUGGCAGGAAUUAAUUUAGUCUAUAGCUUGUAUGUGCUUCAGGGCCUUUGAUUGUUAGUACAUAACGAAGUACAAUCAGAUGAAAAUCUGGGUACAGCCUACAAAAGUAGCUCAUGAAUCAUGGCUUGUCUUCAGUGGGUGUGAUUGAACUUAUACCCUGCCUCAACUCUUUCCUGAACUGAAUGCUUGUAAAUUGACUUGCUAUUCUGGUGCACUAUUUUUUUUUUUGGCAAUUUAUUAUACUUAUAAUGCUUGUAACGCUUUCCUGAACUCUUGUAAUGCUUUCCGCAGUCUGUGGGAUUGGACAGCAGAGCAUUGUGAACCUAAUGGUUCAAGUCAUGGUACUUUCAUUCACAUCCAUAAUCUCCAUCUAUAUCACAAUCAAUCUUUAAAGUACCUGUUUGGACUUGCUUUCUCAUUAUGUCCCUUUUUUUUUACAGCAGAUGCUACCAAAUUCGUGUGGGAUUGCCUCAAUCAAGAUGAUGAUGAGCUGUUGGGAUUGCUUGGAAAUCAAACCCCAUUGAGAGACUGCCGCAAUUUCUUUGCUGACCUUGGUGGUACAAAGCUUUUUGUUCGGCCAAUUAUCAUUCAUUCCACUCUUGAAUGCAUAGCUUAAAGCGUCUGUUACUUUUGUAGAUAUCACAUGCAAGGAGACCUUGGACCUGGAGGAAUCUCGGGAAUCAAAGCGGCGACGCACAUUGGAGUACCCUUCAGAGUCUAGUCAGUCAGAAGUUGGGACUCAUGGUACUGGUUCACCUUUCGUUACACCUGAGGUUGUUCAACAGCUCCCAGCUAUGUUUCAAAUCUAAUCUUUGCAAUUUGCAUAUCAUAGUUAUGCAUGUUCUGUUUUUCCAUGUUUCAGGUAGCAGAAAUUUCAUUGCUCUGCGCUGAUAAACCACAGAGCUUAAAUUGUGAUAUGCACAACACUUCAAAUAAUUUAGGUUUGUAUUUUUCAUUAUAUAUGCUUAAACAGUGCCCCUACUUUUUGUUAAUUGAAAAAUUUACAUCAGAUACAAUAAAUUCCUUGUCAGAUGAAGCACCCUACCACCAAGAAGAUAAUCUUUUGGAACAUUGCUCUUAUGAAACUCCUGUGUACCUCGAGCCUGAUCAAACGUCUGUCCCUCUCUGGUUCCACUGAAACCACUUUAUUUGGCUCAUUCAUAUGUUAGCUGUGGUAUAUUCAUCUCCUACUUGCUGUAGGCCUUGUAGCCAGGAGAGCAUUGCAUGUAUAAAUGAUCAAGCUGGUAUUUCAGGUCAGUGCAAAUCACUUUUUCUAUACCAUUUGAUAGUCAAUUUUUCAUUUAAUUUUGCAACUCAGCUUCCAACAUUUCCAUUAAUAUUUGUUCUUAAGCUCACUAGAUAUCUGAGAGGAGCAUUUUAGUUUCCUAUUUUUCUUCAGUUGUGGUCUAUUUGCAGUUGCCACAAUGUACUAUUAUAACCAGCAACCAUAAUGUUUGAGUGCCUUCCUAGCACCAGGGUUUUGUAUUGGGUCAACAACUUACCUAUUAUUUCUAUAUGCCUACAGGAACAACUGAGAUUGCACCAAUGACAGAAAGUUUCAUAAUGCAGGAAACUAGGAAGCUUUCUACACUCAAGGUCUCCAAAGGUAUUUCAUGUUGACAGUAUAUUAUUACUUGGAACACACUUGAACUUCCAGUUUCAUCAGUGCUAAUCAUGUGGCCUCUUUUGCCUUACUACUAGGACCAAGCUCAUCACUAGUUAGGGUGAAGGAAAACUUAACUAUCUCAGUAGCAUAUCCUUUUACUCUCAUCAAACCAUCUUGGGAGGAAGGUGAUGUUACCUUACAGGAUAUAAAUCAGCGAAUCCGUGCUCCUCCUAAGAAGGCCCCGGAGAUCCUUGGAACUUCAGCGUUCUCUGGCAAGCCAGUGAUUGGCAAGACAAGAAUCAGAACAGAAGGGGGGAAAGGAAGCAUCACAAUACUAAGAACAAAGGGCUGAGAACCGGAAAAUACCUUUGAUCCUUAUUUAUCUGCCAGUCUCUCCAUUUAUCAGAAGAGAAAGGGGAGAAGGCAGCUCCCUGGUGGUCAAUUGUGCAGGCACAUGAGGCUGCCAUUGAUUCACAGUUCAAGGAACAGAAGGCAUAGAACCUGAUUAUGCCAUGGAUUCUUAUUUAUCUCCCAUUCUCUUGAUUGCUGUUGGCCCUUUGGUCCAUGUGCAGGCCUCUGUAGCUUUCCAGCUGUUACUUUUUUCUUUCAGUUUUGUACCGUGGCUUUGUCUUGUGAAUUACUGUACAUGCAAAAGCAAAACUCCUUCAGAUGUUCAGCAUUCUUAUGGUGUAUUUAUAACAUGUGGUCGAUGAUAUAUACAAAAAUCUGAAGUUAAAGGAAUGAGUGUGUUAAAUUCCAUUUAUUACUUCUUGAGAGGCUGUUCAAUCCUUCCGUGUCCAUAAUGAGAAGUUUUCUUAUAUGACACUAGCAAACUCACUAAUUCCUUCUAUGAACCUUAAAAUUUCAAAGUUAACUAUUUGAUGCUAGCUUUGAAUUCCAUGCCUUAGAGCAACUCCAAGAGGCUCUCUAAAUCUUUUGUAAAUGCUAGUAAUAGAGAUUUUAGUGAAAAACUACUCUCCAACAGCUUGUCUAAAUGGUUAUACAAAUAUAGCCAUCUUCUAUUCUGGAUUAUUCGUUAGCCAAAAAUAGAAAAUGAGAAUAGCUCUCUAGAGUGCGCACGAGAGAUAGAAAAGCUGUAGGAGAGUGAAGAAAUAUAGAAAACGAUUUUUAUGGAAAUGGUUCUCAAAAUGAUGAUUUAGAGAGGGAGAUUUGCAAAGACUUUUGGAGAUGGUCUUAGCUAACACUUCUGCUACUUCUGCCUAUAGAUGUCCAAAUGGGCUAAAACUAAAAGGAGGCACGAGGCACGACCUACUAAGGCUUGGCCUGAGCACGGUCGGUAGUUGUCCGUAAAUCCUAUGGAUGAAGGCACCAUUAAAGAACAUUGAAAUCAAUUUCAAACAAUUGUCAUUGCUAUUUGACAAUGAAAGUGCCAUAGAGCUCACCAACAAAUUAGUUCAACACUCAAGAAUAAAGCAUAAAGAUGUCCGCCAUCAUUUCAUAAGAGAUCAUCAAUAAAAAGAAGACAUUUGCAUUGAGAGUAUAAGCACUGAUGAUCAACUUGCUGAUAUAUUCACAAAGUCACUUGAUGAGAAGAGGUUUUGCAAGCUAAGGAAUGAAUUGAACAUACUUGACUACUGAAAUAUGUGUUGAUGCACCCCAAUUAUAUGACAUGCCUCUCCUUCGAGCAAAAGGUACAAUUGUUUGACAUGUCACUCAUUCUUUGCUAAGGACUUGUUUAGUGCAUCUAGUCAUUCCUAACAUAUCUUAGGCUCAUUCAUAAAAAUCAAAUGAAUUUGAUGCUUGUAUGGUACCACUAUUGCUUCCAUGCUUGAAAUGAUCUAGUAGUAGCAUAUGACAUGUUUGUGGGCUUGCAAUCGUAGUGUUUGUUUCAUCUGGAAUAUGAGCUAUAAGUGUUUAAUUCAACAUGGUACAAGAUAACCCUUAUUUGAUGUGUGAAAAAGCUUGUCCUUGGAUCAAACUAAGAUAAAUAUCUUAGACAAGUAAUCUAGAUUGAACUAAUUUGGGAAAAUAGUCUCACUUCACAUGGUUUCACACUAACUUAUCUAAAAUUUGAGCUCACAUUUUAUGAUCAUUGAUGACAAAGGCGGAGAGAAUUUCCCAAAGAUUUGCACAAGGGGGAGAAGUACAAAGAUAGGGAGUAACAUGAUAAAGGAAGGGGAUCAAUUAAAAUUUUGAAGCACACAAGUAGGGGGAGCAAGCUCAUAAACAUGUUUGUUGCAUUUGAAUGUGCAUUUCAUAUGAUUGUUUGUAUUUGCAUUAUCUUUAGAAGCUUUCUCUCUGAUACCUUGCUUGUAUGGUAUAUGCUAGUUACAGGUUUGAUUGUUGAAAUAAAGAACUAGCAUGUAUAGGAAGUGUAACUAGACUUUUAUGUUUUCACAUGUGGUACUAGAGCCUUGUUUAUAAUGUUGAUCUCAUGAGGUGUUCUAGUUUUGUGAAUGUCUAGUUAUUAAUGGUGCUAAGGAUGAUUUACAUUGGCAACCGAUUGGUAUCACGCUUCAAAGGUCCAUUCUUUACACCUUAGCAUCAUUUGGUAGAAACUGACUCCUAUAUUUCCUAUUCAAGCAUAUGUGCAAGAUUUCAAAUCCAAACUCUUAGCACAUAUGUAGGGGGAGCAAUUGCUACCAAAUUGGAUUUAUGAAACUUGUCCAUAGCCUUUGCACAUGGUAAAAUGCUUGGGCCAGCAUCAUGAAUGCAAGAAAAUUUUAUUGAAAAUCUUUGUAAAUGGGUUGUUAUCAAUUACCAAAAAGAGAGAGAUUGAAAGCCUAGUUUUAUUUUUGGAUAAUUGAUAAAACUCAACUACUAACCUUCAUGCUAAGUAUGUGUAGAUUAGAUGAGGUUGGUCAUGCCAAGUGAUGGAGCAAGAGAUGAUCAUGGUGAUGAUGGUGAUGACCACAAGAUGAUCAAGUGCUCAACUAGAAAAGAAGAAAGAGAAAAACAAAACCCUUUGAAGCUCAAGGCAAAUGUAUUGCUUAGGGUUUUAGUUUUUGUGAUCAAGACGCCAUAGAGGGUGUGAUCACAUUUAGGAUAGCAUACUAUAAAGAGGGGAAUUCUUCGUCUAAGCGGUUAUCAAGUGCCACUAGGUGUCAUUAUUCAUGUGUAUGCAUUUAGAACCUAGUGUGCGAACUUAACCCUUGAAAAUGUUUGUGAGAAUAUGCUAAUACACGUGCACAAGGUGAAACACUUGGUGGUUAGUGUUGGCAAUUCUUAACGCAAGCACCAGAGGUGGACACAAAGUCUAGUCCCUAGCAACGGUGCUAGAAAUGCUUAAUGACACUUCUUAGUAAUACUAAGAGAGGACAGAGGUUAACUACUAUCCUUGAAGCGUUGGGUCGGUAGUUCUUAGCUACACAUAAGGUGAGGCUAGAGUUGGCUAGUCCACUAAUUCCUAGCGGGGUUGUCAAACUCGACACUAGUAGGGCCAACACACAUGAUUGCAAUCUACCUAGAUGAAUGGGAUCUGCAAGCGCACAGAACUAUCGUGUGUAGCACUUCGCCUGGUGAGUAACCAGGUGUUCAUUUAUAAUUUCCCAAACGAAGGCUGGGGUGAUGUGGUCGAGUUGGGCCAGAAUGGAUGAUCAGAGUUAGGAAUGGUAAAUGGAUGGGUAAAGGAUAACCAAACUAAUCUACCAACUAACCUAGAUAAAUAAGAGUGGUAGUAGAUUUAGGGGACCUAGUAAAAGGAUAGAACUAGUUAUUAAAGUCAAGCAAAGAGGCGUACCCAUCCUGAACUCACCGUAUGGUUGAUUAAGCAUGAAGCACAACGAGCCUUACGUUUUAAGAACUAGACCGAAUGUGGGAUAAUACGUAGGCAAUCAGGGCUGUCACCACCUAGUGCUACUCCAACUAUCCAUGGGUCUAGCCGUAUCUGAAUGUAAGCCUAUAGUCUAAGCACCACGCUUAAUCUAUACUCCUACUUGUUGAUGCAAAACAGAUCUGCAAACACAAAGAGCUAAUACCCGAUUCAAAUGUUGAGGCGUGCCAGCCGAUUUGACCUAACAAUCGACAAAGGUGAUAACUUGAAUACUUUGGUCCUGACAACAAUGAUGCGCCCGGAUGCCACGGCCAAGAGGUAUUCACGCAGAACUCGAGUAUUCGUCGAGUUUUGCUCGAUGAAUCCUUAAGAACUCGUAAACAAAAGAAAAUAUGCGAGUUAACGAAGUCGUCGAAAAAGUAGAUGUAAAAGUAGAUAUAAAACUUGUGUAUGAUAUUGAUUGAUUGUUUUUUUGCAUUGCUACCAGGCCUAUAUUUAUACUCUGUCCUAGAGAGUUACAACCGUAUACGACUAGGAUUUAAUUCAAAACCAAACAUAACUCUUACAUAAGGUAACCUCUAACAAAUAUGGAAAAUAACCACCUAUCUAUUCUGGCGAUAGGCAUAUCACCGUUGCUUUCCUAGCAACUCCCACGUCUCCCUUCAUCAUCAUCGGCAUACUCCCCAUAUCCUUACCAACUCCCAUAUCUUUCUUCAUCGGCAUCGGCAUCGGCAAUCAUCAACAUCGGCAAUUAAUCAACAAUGAUUAGCAGCUACCAUCAAGCUUGGCAACAUUUUCCACCCAUCAUCCGGCCAUCGGCAUCAUCAGCCAUCAGUAAUCUUUUUAUCGGCUAGACACAGCACCUCCUUGACUGCCGAUCAAGUUUCACUGACCAUCUUGACUCGUGCCCAAAAACGGUGUGAACACAUGCCCCCCAGUUUCGGAGUAUGAAAUCAUUAAUGCUCUAAAAUUCUCUCCUGAUAAUGACGACCUUUUCAUAAUUAUGGUAACAAUUAAUUACCAAAUCCAAACAACCUUAACUCUGACUUCCAUAUCUCAGUGAAUAUCUCACAUCCCUUAACCACCUGAACCGAAUCUCAUAGAAACACGCUCAUCGGCAACUUGUUCUGUUAGGGUUGACUACGGAUGGACCGACCAAAAGAUCGUGUAUAGUGGAAUAUCUCCUAAAAUCAUGAUUACUUACUGUCAAAUCACCUGUACAAUCCCUUGAUUGUCGUGCCAAUAGUUAGCAUAUCCAUCUGAACAACCUCGAAUUCCAUGGAUACGACAAAGAGAUAAGUCAAAAAUACCCCUGCUCAUUUCAACCUAUAAAUACUUUCUUCCCCAGUACUCAUCCUCUACCUCGUCAUUCCCCAUUCUCAAGUUCAUCUCCCCGGCGGCGGCAUUGACGAAGAGCUCAAGAACUUCGGUAGUGAAAAAGCUCUCCUACGGCAAAGCCCUCCUAGAAUCUUCAAAUCUCCAGUUCUUUCUCCUGUUUAGAAGGAAAUGGCCGUCAACUUUGUUGUUCCUGUGGUUAAUCCAUCCCCAUCCUCUCUUUCUUUCACUGCAAUCUUUACUGUUUGCAAAUUUAUUUACUUAGCAUUUUCUCCCCGGUGAUCCAGACCCCACUGAUCUGAUCAACGCAGAAAACAAUUGGAUUCCCUUUAGAGCCGAGAACUUCUCUUUAGAUCUAUGGAAGGACACUUUCUGAUCUUGGCCAAAACCCACUAAAGGAUGGAAAAAUUGGUUCUUGAGAGUCAGUAAAACAAAUGAAACAUACUGGGGGGAACGCAAAUUAGACCAAUGCAUUAGACUCUCCAUGGCUGAUAUGGAGAAGAAUGAGUCGAUGAUGAUAGCAACUUCAUAUUUUUGCUCAGACACCUUGAAUGCUUUCAUCUUUGGUCACAGCCCAGCUUUCCCCACACUUGCCGAUGUUGUCAUGCUUACUGGCUUGGAAGUUGCAACUGCCAAUGAUGGCGGUAUUUUUAACUGCAAAACCAAAUAUAAAGUAGAAACCCGCAACAUCGGUGGCUGGUCAGGAUAUGUCCAAAAAUAUCGGCAAACUGGAUCAGUCGGGCAGAGAGAGCAUGCCAUCUUUCUGAAUAUGUGGUUAGACAAGUUCAUCUUAUAUGGCCGAUCGGUAGGGCCAACCUCUGUCUACUUAUCGGCAGCAGAGCGACUAGCUAAUGGUAACGGAUUCCCCCUUGGCCGAUAUUUGUUGGGUUCUGUCUAUCACCUCCUCCACCAAGUAGCCGAGAAACUCCUGCUCAGUGAACCCAUCGGCAACCUAGGAGGUCCUUGGUGGUUCAUUAACAUGUGGCUCAACGCUCAUAUGCAUAAGCGGCUUCGGUGGGAUUUCUUCACGCAACAGUUCCCACAAGAUAACACCGAUGAUUAUGAGCUAGCAGAGGAUGAAUCGGCAACACGCUCGCCCCUCAAGGCGAAGCCAUCAUAGUUCACCCCGGUACCGAUGCAAACAAGAACUAGAUCGACCGAUUCUUUCAAACACUGUAUGAUGGCCUUUCCAAAGAUCAGCGAGCCUGGAUGCCUUAUGAGGAUGCAAAAUCCAGAUUUCCACUCACCUUUGACCCUGCCGAUGAUACACUUAACAAGGACAAAGAUUUGAUGAUGGCGAUCAUUACCCCAAGAGCAAUCCUAGUAAACAACUUCGGCAGCGGAAAGAACACCAACACAACUUACAAGUUCUACAACCCAUCGGCACUAGCUCGUCAGCUGGGUUUUGGUCAGUUACCCAUUAAACUUUAUUAUGCCGAUGUGGUCAAGACGAGGGAGGUAAUAACCAGUGGACUUGAGUGGAUCAGAAUAGCUCAGCUCCAGCCAGAUGCCGAUGUUGACGGUCCUUAAGUAUCAAAUUUAAUUAUCAAAUAAACAAAGAAAAGGAUCCAAAUGAAACCAACAUCCAGACUUAGGGUUUUAUCUGAUAGAAUUCCAUGAGUUUUGGUGUUUGUCUAUUUCUGCAGGGGGUUAUCAGGAAAUACGGAAGAAAGGCCCACACGUCGGGAUUACAUAGAGAUAUUAAUGUGCCGCGCAAUUAUCUUACAUCUAGAAGACUCCAGAAGUCACGGGAAGGAAGCGGAGGCCGAACGGGACCAGGCACUGGGCGCCCGCCCAGUUGCCCUAGGCGCCCGCCCUCCUGCUGAGUCCAAUCAGGACUCUGUUUCGGGGAAGAUCUCCACCGACCUUAAGGAUCAAGGAUAACCGUUCAAUCAAUGUCGGUUUGAUCCAACGGCCCAUAUUCACUUAAAAGGACUAUAAAAUCAGACCCCCUGGCCCCUGGAGGAUAGAGCCUCUCAACCCUAAUUCAUUAUUCCUCAAGGGAGAAGAAGCCUCUGAUCAAGAUUAGAGCCACCACAUCAAUUAGACAUCUAGAUUAGCAUAGCUACAUAGGAUUAGAACUAGAAGAAGUCAAUCUUCGAUUGGUUUCCGGAUCUGUCAAGAGGAUUCUUGGUAAUUCUCUAAUUAUUCUUCUAAUUGUUCUUCUAAUUAUCUUUGUUCUUCAAUAUUAUGAAUAUGACUUUGUUCUACUUCAAUAUAUUGCUUAUGACUUUGCUCUACUUGCUUAUAUUCAAGAUUAUAUUGUUCUUAGUUUAUCAUGGUUAUGUACUUGGCUUAGUUAGAUUGGAUCUAUAUACAUGCUUAGGAUCGUAUAGCGUUUAUCCAUCGGAUCCAUGGAUAAAUGAUAGAUAUUGUGUAGGCGUGGUGCUUAUACCGUAUUUAUCUGCGAUUGUACCCAAUAUGCCAGAUCAAGGGGUAGUUCGUGAUAGUGACAGCUUCAUUGAUUCUUAUAUAGUCCCCCUCUCGUGUAUUAGGCUGGCAGAGCAAUAUUAUUACAGGGGAGUGAUUGCUAUGUUUCUCAUUUACCUUGCUAAUAUCACUAUGCAUGGGCGUAGUCUUGUCUCACAAUGAUUGCUAAGUAUGCUUGCACUAACUAUGAUAAUGCUAGACUAUAUAGUUGAGAAUAACUUAGGAAAUAUUCUUGUAGUUCGUUCUAAUUCUAUGCUAAUGACUUUCUAGAGUAUCUAAUUGAGGUGCUUAUCAUAUUUAUUAUGUGGCUAAGUUAUGAUCAGACUAAUUAUCUUUGUCACUAUUCAUUACUUCAUAUAUCUUUUAUGUGACACUUACCCCUGUAUGAAAGAGUUAGAUAAAUGUUCUCAAUUAUACAUGCAAUGAUAGAUACUCAAUCUCAUAUUCCAUUCUGUAAUCAAUAUUGAUGAUUGCUAAUCCCUUCCCAGUGGUAAAAAUAUAAAUAACGAUACCUGGAAUACUUCCCGGUUAAAAUGCUACAUCGGUAUUAAUCUAUGCGCUUGCAGAUCCCAUUCAUUAUUUAUUUAGAAGAGCAAUUGCAUAUUUCAAUACCACGUCUCUCAUGUUAUGCUGGGGAUGACAACUUGGCUUAAGUGGUGUGAGGGAUAGGUUUGGCAUUUUUGGCACCGUUACUAGAAUUAGAAAACUCUCUACUUUUGGUAGUGAUGUUAAGAAUACCCAAUAGCCGAUACGACAGAUAUUGAUCUAUCGGCUUGGGUUCCAGCCCUUUUCAUCACCCAAUCAUAUAAACGGUGGUGGGAAGAAUGGAAAGAGCAUCUGUUCAAGGUAUCGCCUCAUAUGUACCACAACAUGAUUGAUCCCGAACAUGAAGUCCCCGAUGACGUUGUAAGUUUCUUUUCCGAUACUCAAUCUUUUUGUUAACUUUAAUUAUAUUGGUAACUUACCCCCUUUUUAUUUCAAUAGGUUACCGAUAACGUUGUAAGUCUCCAGAGAUGCUAUACUAAUUCGCCUCUUCCCAUUCUCACUAUUAGGAAGAACGAAGCAGUGGUUCUACGCUACAAAGGAGAAGAAUACUACGUGGGCACUCUGCUCAACAAACUUCCUAGCUAAGUUCUUUCCCAUGGGCAAGACCAAUGCUCUCCGUGGGAAGAUUACAAGUUUUCAGCAACAAAAUGAUGAAUCCGUUCCAGAAGCAUGGGAGCGCUUCCAAGACUACAUCCUAGAAUGUCCCCAUCAUGGAAUGGAGAGUUGGCUAUUGAUGCAGACGUUUUAUCACGGGCUCGGCAAAAGUGCCCGAGAAACCAUGGAUGCUGCAGCUGGAGGAGCAUUCUUAUCACUCACCAUAUCACAAGCCACAGCUCUUGUGGAGAAGAUGGCGUCCAACCAAAGCUGGAACGAAGAGAGGACCCAGACACGCAAGAAAGGUGGAGGUAUGCAUCAGCUCAAGGAGGUAGACAUGUUGUCUGCAAAGCUAGACCUGCUCAUGAAGAAGCUCAAUGAUAGAGCUGGAGAUAAGAAGGAAGUUAUGCACAUCUACGACUCUCACAUGACUUGUGAGGAGUGUGGAGGUACUGGACACUCAGGCAAUCACUGCCCUAAGAUACUUUAGGAUGUGAACUACAUCAACAAUAACAACAACAACUAGUACAACCGUCCUUAACAAAAUCAAGGUUGGAAUCAACAGAGGCCUAACUACUCAGGUAAUUAUCAAGGUAACAAUUCUUACAAUAAUAAUAAUUUUCCACCUUUGAGAGAGUUAGUGUCUAAUCAAGGAAAGCUAAUGGAUAACCUAUCUAAGAAAUUGGCAUCUAAUGAUAAAAUGCUAGAAAAUAUAAAUAAUAGAAUGGAUAAUUUCUCUACUACCAUCAAUAAUCAAAUUAGCUUUAAUAAAAUGAUUGAAUCUCAGUUAAAUCAAAUAGCUCCUGUUGUUCCUACUACUAACCCCGGUAUACCAUCACAACCGGAAGGAUUAGAAUCUGCAAAUCUUGUAGACAUGUUUGAUGCAGGUAAUAAUUGGAGUAACCCCAUCACUGAAUUCACUACUGACCUUCUGCCGGUCAAGAGAGGUGAUCCAGGACGCCCCGUCAUCCCGAUCUCCAUCGGCAUGGUGGACGUUCCAGAAGCACUCUGCGACUUUGGCUCCAGCGUCAAUAUUAUACCCAGGGUACUAUAUGAAAAAUUCUUUACAUAUCCUUUAUCAGAAACAACCAUGCGUUUGCAGUUUGCAGAUCAGACGAUAAGUUUUCCAAAAGGAAUAUUGAAGAACCUUUGUGUCCGAGUUGGUACCUUGUACGCCCCAGCAGACUUCGUAGUGGUAGAGACCGGUAAUGAUGAGAGGGCACCUAUCAUCCUAGGGAGGCCAUUCUUAAACACCUCGGGAGCUAUCAUCUACGCCAGUGCUGCCAAGAUCAGUUUCUACAUCAAAGGGAGGAAGGAGACGUUUUCCUUCAGGAACAAGACUACACAAAUCCCAGAUCAAUUCAGACGUGAAUCAAGGAAGAUGACCAACAGGAGGAACAGGAACAAGCAAGUGUGGACCGAGUUAGCUAAGAUGGUCAUUGCAGUUCAUGGAGGUCAAGAUCAUCAACUUAAGUCACCAUUUUUGACCAAGAAGGAUGACCCAGGAAUGCCAAGCAUCUAUUGCUCAAUAAAUGGAUACAACUUCUACAAGAUGACUUGCGACACCGGAUCGGGCGUCAACAUAAUGGCCGCAGUCACCUAUCGGCUCUUGUUCGGAACCAUGCCCCUAAAGCCAACAUACAUUCAGCUCCAGAUGGCAGAUUAGACAUUUCGAGAGGUUAAAGGAACAGUAACUGAUGUCCCAGUCAAAAUAGACGAUCAUUUUGUCUACACAGACUUUCAGGUUAUUGACAUGGGAGAAGAGGAGUACGAUCCACCAAUCAUCCUUGGAAGACCGUUCCUCAGCACCGUUAAAGCAAUCCUCUACAUUGGAACCAAAGAAGUCCAUAUGCACUUCCCCUCAGAGAAGGUACACCGCUAUUUUACUGACCCUAACUAGAGGAGGCAGAUCAUCAAGGACGGAUGGGAAGACUACGAAGGAGAAGUUGUAAGGUCAGAAGACGUACAGUUUAAACAGAAUUAUCUAGAGGAGACCGUAGCACCGAGUCAGGUGUGGAAAUAGAAGAUAACUAUACAUGAAGAGGAGGCGCCGCCGGAAGUACCGACUACGCCACCCAACGAAUCCCAGGACAAUUGAGAAAAUGGAGAGUCCUGUUCACAUUGAACGCCUUGCCAAGAGGUAAACUUGGUAGUUAUCAUUUCCUUUUAAUUAUUUGAAAUAGUUUGCUUAGUUAAUCAUGUUUAUACUAUUCUAAAAAGAAAAUAAAAAUGUUAAAAACAGUAAGCCCCAUGUGAGUAUAUGAGUGGCAUAAAACCUAUAAGUACAUUCACUGUGGUGGCAUAAAAAUAAAAUAAAUAUUUUUUUCUGCUUUAUAAAAUGAAAAUAUAAAAAUAGAGAGUAAUAAUUGUUAAGGAGUCUCAACAUGAUAAAGGCUAGAUAUUAUUGCUAACACUUAAUCAGUUCCACAAGCUUUGUUGUCUAUUUGAGCUCCAUAAAGUUUAAGAAUCAAGAAGACUAGCAGACGGAGGACAUUCUAAUCGCUGUCAGAAUGCUGCCGACUUUCAAAUACACCUCUGCCACCUGCUAGCUACAUCAAGAGAAAUUACGUCAAAAUUCAGCUUGGGGGAGAGCACCCCCAUUUAUCCUGAUAAGUAUUUCUAUCUAUCAAUCUUUAUACUUAUAUUAUAUUAAAAUAUAGAUAUACAUAACUAUGGAAAACCCAAUAAAGAUUUUGUGCUUAUAUAUAUAUCUUUUGCUUAGUGUGUUUAGUAAAUAAAGUGGCUAUGCUAAUCUGUAUCUAAAUAAAACUCUAGCAUGGAUAUGAUGAAUAGUUGCUCUGCUUAAUUUUUAAAAUUUGAAGUUCUCUCUCAAGUUUAGACAUAACUGUUAUAAUUUAAAGCUUGCUCUAGACCUAAACUUGUGGGAUGAAAACUUGAUCUGAAGUCUAAGUUGUUAACGGAUAUGAUAUAGGAAGGUUGAGCUGCUGUUUAUCUGUUCCUAGAGAUGCUAGAAUUCUGGAGAAUUUUAUCUUUGAAAAAUCUUUAAAAUAUUGCAUGAUGAGUUCCUGUAUGAUGUGAGUUUAAAUUCCUACCACAGCCAUAUAUACAUGCUUGCUAGACGUUGAGCCACAUAUUUACUAUUUACUGCUUAUGAGCAUUGAGUAUGGUCAAGCUGUGUAGACCCUUAGGAGCUUGUCAUGUGGUCAAAUCAAGAUUCACUUGCAGGUUCACUCAUAUAUGCUACUUCUACUCCGGAAGUACCAUCCACAUAUAUCCACCCAUUUCCAUCUCCAGAAUCACCCAAAAAUAUUCUACUCCUGAUCCGGGAGAGAAUAGCCAAAAAAUAUCUCUGUGUUUUCCUAUGAAAUAAAUGUUCAAGUUAUCUUGUUACUACCACUUGCUAUAUUAUCUCAAGAGAUGAGUGCUCUAAAAAAAGAGAUACGAGGAAAUAAAAAGGGGCAAGUGCCCGGAACCUCAAAAGAAAAGAAAGUAAGACAAGAGGUAAAAAUGGACAAGUGUCCGACAGUAUAAUUAGGGGUACAAGAUACCCACCUGAGAGAAAAGAAAAAGAAGAGCAUCUCAUUCUCCUCACAAUGUUUCAAAAGCAAGGAAGGUAUGUAUCCCCUCAAAAGAGCAAAAGUAGAAUUAGACUUCCACCAUUGUUCAUCACCAUACACCAUUCAUUCGCCACACAUGCACAUCUUGAUUUGACUUAAUGAUUUGAUUCUUUGGAUCUAUGGUUUGACUAUACAAUACAUGUCUUGUAAGUAUGUAUAUUUUAUCUCCCACCUAUGAGCUCCAGAUAUUAAAGCCUUAUUAGAGUAGGGUGAGAGAGAAGGCAAUGUCACUAUGCCUUAUACCACAAAUACUACAUAUCUUGAGAGAAGGCAUAUACCAUCACUGCCUUGGUAAGGAUCCAGAAAUACCACAAAAGAGAGAUAUGAGAGAGUCAUACAAGGAAUCUCUGAGUUUUAUUUGAAAAUCUGCAAAAAACUCUAGAGCUAUAGCUGAUCAAGAAUAAGAGACAUGGCACUUGACUAGACUGUUCUAUCUUUUAACUGCUCAAGAUGGAAGUGACAGUUACAAGUCCCAUAGUGAAAGGUAAAGUAAGUAAGUUUUAAGUCUUGAUAGUUUACUCUAACUUAGAGAUAAGACCUCAUUUAAAAGUAUGUGUACCGUCAAUUUUUAAAAUAUUGCAGCAACUUCUAAUCUAUCCUUGCUCAGGGACGAGCAAGAGGUAAGCUUGGGGGAGUUUGUUGACGGUCCUUAAGUAUCAAAUUUAAUUAUCAAAUAAACAAAGAAAGGGAUCCAAAUGAAACCAACAUCUAGACUUAGGGUUUUAUCUGACAGAAUUCCACGAGUUUUGGUGUUUGUCUAUUUCUGCAGGGGGUUAUCAGGAAAUACGGAAGAAAGGCCCACAUGUCAGGAUUACAUAGAGAUAUUAACGUGCCGUGCAAUUAUCUUACAUCUAGAAGACUCCAGAAGUCACGGGAAGGAAGCAGAGGCCGAACGGGGACUGGCACUGGGCGCCCGCCCUCCUGCUGAGUCCAAUCAGGACUCUGUUUCGGGGAAGAUCUCCACCGACCUAAAGGAUCAAGGAUAACCGUUCAAUCAAUGUCGGUUUGAUCCAACGGCCCAUAUUCACUUGAAGGGACUAUAAAACCAGACCCCCUGGCCCCUAGAGGAGAGAGCCUCUCAACCCUAAUUCAUUAUUCCUCAAGGGAGAAGAAGCCUCUGAUCAAGAUUAGAGCCACCACAUCAAUUAGACAUCUAGAUUAGCAUAGCUACAUAGGAUUAGAACUAGAAGGAGUCAAUCUUCGAUUGGUUUCCGGAUCUGUCAAGAGGAUUCUUGGUAAUUCUCUAAUUAUUCUUCUAAUUGUUCUUCUAAUUAUCUUUGUUCUUCAAUAUUAUGAAUAUGACUUUGUUCUACUUCAAUAUAUUGCUUAUGACUUUGCUCUACUUGCUUAUAUUCAAGAUUAUAUUGUUCUUAGUUUAUCAUGGUUAUGUACUUGGCUUAGUUAGAUUGGAUCUAUAUACAUGCUUAGGAUCGUAUAGCGUUUAUCCAUCGGAUCCACGGGUAAAUUAUAGAUAUUGUAUAGGCGUGGUGCUUAUAUCGUAUUUAUCUGCGAUUGUACCCUAUGCCAGAUCGUGGGGUAGUUCGUGAUAGUGACAGCUUCAUUGAUUCUUAUAUAGUCCCCCUCUCAUGUAUUGGGCUGGCAGAGCAAUAUUAUUACAGGGGAGUGAUUGCUAUGUUUCUCAUUUACCUUGCUAAUAUCACUAUGCAUGGGCGUAGUCUUGUCUCACAAUGAUUGCUAAGUAUGCUUGCACUAACUAUGAUAAUGCUAGACUAUAUAGUUGAGAAUAACUUAGGAAAUAUUCUUGUAGUUCGUUCUAAUUCCAUGCUAAUGACUUUCUAGAGUAUCUAAUUGAGGUGCUUAUCAUAUUUAUUAUGUGGCUAAGUUAUGAUCAGACUAAUUAUCUUUGUCACUAUUCAUUACUUCAUAUAUCUUUUAUGUGACACUUACCCCUGUAUGAAAGAGUUAGAUUAAUGUUCUCAAUUAUACAUGCAAUGAUAGAUACUCAAUCUCAUAUUCCAUUCUGUAAUCAAUAUUGAUGAUUGCUAAUCCCUUCCCAGUGGUAAAAAUAUAAAUAACGAUACCUGGAAUACUUCUCGGUUAAAAUGCUACAUCGGUAUUAAUCUGUGCGCUUGCAGAUCCCAUUCAUUAUUUAUUUAGAAGAGCAAUUGCAUAUUUUAAUACCGCGUCUCUCAUGUCAUGCUAGGGAUGACAACUUGGCUUAAGUGGUGUGAGGGAUAGGUUUGGCAUUUUUGGCACCGUUACUAGAAUUAGAAAACUCUCUACUUUUGGUAGUGAUGUUAAGAAUACCCAAUAGCCGAUACGACAGAUAUUGAUCUAUCGGCUUGGGUUCCAGCCCUUUUCAUCACCCAAUCAUACAAAUGGUGGUGGGAAGAAUGGAAAGAGCAUCUGUUCAAGGUACCGCCUCAUAUGUACCGCAACAUGAUUGAUCCCGAACAUGAAGUCCCCGAUGACGUUGUAAGUUUCUUUUCCGAUACUCAAUCUUUUUGUUAACUUUAAUUAUAUCGGUAACUUACCCCCUUUUUAUUUCAACAGGUUGAUGACCCAGCACCGACAAUGAGUAGAAGUGGGAGGCCGAUCGACCUUCUCCCAUCAUCCACAGUGUCUCUGAUCGGCCACAACGCACCAAGCCUAGCAGUCCUGAUGCACCAAAACAUCCGCUUCAAGAAGAUGACCACCAAACGGUCUAAAACUUCGCCAUCGGUAGCUGCCGCUACACUAGCACAAGCUUUCAAGGUAAAAUCUUCAAAUUUCCUUUUUAUUAUGCCAAUUUUAUCUCAUAUUCACACUAUUCUUUCAGGGUGCAUCGGCUACGACUGGAACGUCAUCGGUAACUUUGCUUUGUAUUAAGCAUUCUAUUCUUUCAAAUUUCAACAACAUUUCUCUGCUUUUAUAUCUAACCCAUAGAACUUUGAUUUUUUGUGACAGCGGACUGGCGCAUCGGCAAAGACCAAAAGUGCUCAAUCAUCGGGUGCCGAUGCCCACCAGUCCGGCCAAGCUCCACCCAAGAGAAAAGGCCCAAAAGCACCAAGACCCAGCCAAAGCGACAGAAGACAGCACCAUCCUCUCCACCUCAUCUAGCAUCCCAGAUUCAAGCAACACCUUCUUCUCCACCUCAUCCAGUGCCUCAGACACAAACAAACCCAGCCGAUGUGUCUGAACAGGUCACCAAUCCUGUUGAUCUAGGCAUGUCAUCGACCAUUCUCCCUGAGUAGAUAAUUGCUAUCCCUCCUCAAGGUAAAGUACCGAUCACAAAAUCAUUACCGAUGACUUCUUUUAUAAAUACCAUCGUCACCUUUGGUAAUUUCCAGUUGAAGAUAUUCCAUCGGCAGCUCUAGCCGAUCAAAUUAUAGUGCAAGCUACAUCUCCAUGCCAGAGACAAGAAAUUGCUCUAAAACAGGUAAGUCAUCUGACCCAUCAGACUUUGCAUUAUCGAUACUUAAUCCUGGUUAACUUAUAUUCUUCUUCCCCUAGGAGCAAGAUUCUCCCGAUAGCUUAUUCUCCUUUGCCAUCGACAUCUCUGAUAACGAAGGUGAAGAGGCAAGCUCUUCAUUGGGUCAGAUCAAGUCCAAGCUUGAAGACUUACUCGCCCUAUUGCAGCAAGACACAGCUCAGCUGGUAGAUGAUUCUGACCCAGCCAAAGACAUAUUCAAGACUCUCUGUGGCCAAAUUCCUGCCGAUGUCGAGGAGAUGCUCUUCCAAGCGGCUCACCAGGAGAGUCGCCAGCUCCAAUACCAAAAGGCCAUCCAGCGCCUUACACCUAGCUUAAGAGGAGAUGCUGCAAGUCAAGCACGCUACCGAUGAAAAGCAUAAGAGCAUCGGCAUUCUGCAAUCUUCAGGUGACAAAUUAAAAUAGAAGAUUUUUGAUCUAUCGGCAAAAAGAGAGGCCUUGCUUGCCGAGCUUAAACAAGUAGAGGAAGCAUUGUCCCAAGCUCAACAGGAGGAAAGUCAACUGCCCAAUGCACUCAAGAAUCUUCAACAAGAGAGGGAUGCCCAGGCUCGUAAGGCAUUGCUAAUGAAGAAAAAGUUGAAACCAGUGGAAGGCUCAGCCGAUGAAAAUGCUGAAAGCCCUAGUUUGGUUUCGGAUAAUUGAUGAAACCCUAGUACUAACCUCUAUGCUAAGUGUGUGUAGACUUAAUGAGGUUGGUACAUGCCAAGUGAAGGAGCAAGUGGUGAUCAUGGUGAUGAUGGUGAUGACCACAAGGUGAUCAAGUGCUCAACUUGGAAAAGAAGAAAGAGAAAAACAAAACCCUAUGGAGAUCAAGGCAAAGGUAUUGCUUAGGGUUUUGGUUUUGGUGAUCAAGACACCAUAGAGGGUGUGAUCACAUUUAGGAUAGAUAGCCGUACUAUAAAGAGGGUAAUUCUUUGGCUAAACGGUUAUCAAGUGCCACUAGGUGUCAUUGUUCUUGUGCAUGCAUUUAGAACCUAGUAAGCUAACUUAACUCCUUCAAAGAAAAUGUUUGUGAAAAUGCUAACACACGUGCACUUGUUGGUACACACGUUGUGGUGUUGGCACACUUUGAGAAGGAGGUGGAGUUUCAAAGGUAGAGAGAGGAUGGGUCGCGGGAGGGAAAUUUUCGAGAAAAUGAAGUGCAUAUUUUCUAUUGCGCCGGAGGGAAAUUUGGAGAUGUCGCGGGAGUGUUUCUCGCUGAGGUACACUCACCGAACGCUGGCUCAGAGGCACCGGACGCUGUGUCUGAGCGUCCGGUGUGCAGGCUGCCUGACUCAGCUAGGGUUAGGCACCGGACGCAAGCUGGAGCGUCCGGUGGUCUGAGUCCGGUGUCCGUACGAUUUUCAAACAUCUCUGGGUGUGAGUCCGGUGAGCACCAGACGCUCAGGGUGCGUCCGGUGACCCUGUGAGUUUGCGGAACUCUCUGCGCAUGAGUCCGGUGUGCACCGGACGCAUCCGGUGCUAACUUGCUCAGUGUCCGGUGCUCUGCAGGUUACCGUUAGACUCUAACACGCUGCUGACGUUGGAGCACUGGACGCUGGUGUUGAGCGUCCGGUGCCCCUUUAAGAGCGUCCGGUGACCCCGUAUUUCGCCCAGUGAAAGAGCCAACGGCUCUAUUUGUUUGAGGGGCUAUAAAUACGUGUUUGGCCGGCUUGGGGCUCAUACUCUUGGCAUUCUAGCAUACUUGACAUCUUUGUGAGCCUAAGCAAACACCUCCCACUCAUCUCCUUUAUAGAUUAUACAUCUUUGUGAGAUUGGGAGUGAUUUCAAGUGCAUUUGCUUGAGUGAUUGCAUCUAGUGGCACUUGGGGAUCGUUCUAGCUGGGGUUUUCUUGUUACUCUUGGUGGUUGCCGCCACCUAGACGGCUUGGAGCAGCGGAGGAGGAUUGGCACGAGUUGGUGAUUGUUCGUGGCCAUCUCCCGGUGAUUGUGAGGGGUCUUGUACCUUCCCCGGUGGAGAGCCGAAAGGUAACUCUAGUGGAUUGCCCGUGUCAUUGAGUUACCUCACUUGUGGGUAGGUUCUUGUGGUGUCCUAGUGAGGACGAGGUUCGUGCUACACCUCUUAGCCACCGAACCACCAAGUGUUGGUCGACACAACGGGGAUGUAGCGUGCCGGCAAGCACGUGAACCUCGGGAGAAAAAUUGUGUGUCUUCAUUGUGAUUGUUCAUUGGAUUUCUCCCAGUGAUUGGACUUCAUAUUAGUGAUUGGUUCAUCCCCUACACGGCGGUAUAAAUAUCUUUUCCUCUCCUUUUACUUACCACAAAGUAGUGUAACUAGUUUUAGUUGCUAGUUUUGACUUGUGUAGUUAAGCUCACUAGUGUAACUUGUAGAAGACGUAGAGCUUGUGUGCAUAGUGAUCAUAGCAACUAGAAUUAUUGGAUAGGUGGCUUGCAAACACCCCUUUUAGAGCUAGAGCAAAAAGCUACGCUUUGUUAUUUACUAACCGCUUGCUCUAGUGAGUUUGUAGAUUUUUUAAAUAGGAUAUUCACCCCCCUCUAGCCAUAUUAGGACCUUUCAAGUGGUAUCGGAGCCGUGGUCACCGUUUGUGAAGGCUUAACAACCUCGGUGCUCAAAUUAUGGCUCAAAUAGUGUUCAACCAUGUUAGGGGCAAACCACCGUUCUUUGAUGGCACAAGUUCUUUUGACUAUUGGAAGAGAAAGAUGAAAAUGUAUCUUGGAUCAAUAAAUGAUAGAGUGUGGGAAGUCACCGAAAAUGACUUUGUGAUUCUUGAUCCGGCUAACCCCACCGACAAUGAGAGAGCAAACAAGCAAUGCAAUACUAUGGCUCUCAACACAAUCUACAAUGGCAUUGAUUCAAAAGUGUUUGAGCAAGUCAAAGAUCUUGAGAGGCAAGUGAAGUGUGGACAAGGCUUGAAGAAACAUAUGAGGGCACUACAACGGUAAAAAGUGCCAAAUUGUAUAUGCUCAAGGACAAGCUAUCCAACUUCAAGAUGAAGGAUGAUGAGUCUAUACCGGAGAUGUUCUAUAGGCUCCAAGUCAUCAUUAAUGAUCUCAAGGGCCUUGGUGAGAAAGUGAAAGAUGAGGACUUCAUUCACAAGUUCUUGAUGUGCUUGCCUAAGAGGUUCAAGACAUUGAGAACAAUCAUCUUUAGAGGUGGAUUGACCGGUGUAUCUCCAAAUGAGGUACUUGGAGAUGUCAUGACCGAAGAUCAAUACAAUGACAAUGAUGAUGAUGAGGUCAUCAAGAAGGAUGAUGAUGACAAGAAGAAGAAGAGUGUAGCAUUCAAAGCUAGCUCUUCAUCCAAGAGCAAGAACAAGGGCAAGGCCAAGAAAGAAGAAUCAAGUGAUGAGGAGUGCUCCAAUGAUGAUAGUGAUGAUGAAGCAUUAGCACUCUUUGUCCGCAAAUUUGGCAAGAUGAUGAAGAAGAAGGGCUACCAUACAAGAAAGAGAAGGGACAACUCCAAGAACAAGGAUUAUGUGAGGCUAUGCUACAAGUGCAAGAGCCCCGAUCAUAUUGUGGUGGAUUGUCCAUACAAUAGUGAUCAUGAUGAGCAUGAAAAGAAGAACAAGAAGGAGAAGAAAGAAAAGAAGGAGAAGAAGAUGGUCUUCAAAAAGAAGAAGAAGGGUGGAUCCUAUGUUGUGACAUGGGAUAGUGAUGCUUCUUCGGAUGAUGAUUCUAGUGAUGAUGACAAGGCAUCCAAGAAGAAGGCACUUGCAAGCAUUGCUAUCAACAACAAGCCAUCACUCUUCGAUACUCCUUCAUGCUUCAUGGCCAAGGGCCACAAGGUACAAUAUGAUGAGAGUGAAAGUGAACAUGAACAUGAUAGUGAUAGUGAUGAAGAAAAUGAAUUCACUAAUGAACAACUCGUGGACAUGUUAGAGCAAGCCGAUUCACUUAUUCAAUCUAAAAACAAGAAGUGCAAAGAAUUGGCCAAGAAGUUAAAAUCUCUUGAGCAAUCCUUUGAUGAGCUCAAUGCUAAUCAUGAGAGGCUAGUGGAAGCCCAUGAGAAGGUUGGCAAGGCUCACACCAAGCUUGAGAAAGCUCACUCCUUGUUGUUAGAAGAGAACAAGGAAAAGGUUGUUGUAUCAUGUGAUGUGGGCACAACAUGUGACUUAAUUAAAGAAUCACCCAACCCACCUAUUGUUGUUGCCACUAACUCUUCUUGUAGGUCUUCAUCCACCAUCACCAACUCUACCUCUACUUCUAGUGUUAGUGUCACUUGUGAUACCUCACUAAAGGUUGAGAAUGAGACUCUCAAGAGAGAGGUGGAUGAGCUCACUCAUGCCCUAGGCAAGGCCUAUGGUGGUGAGGCCCGCUUGCUAAAGUGCUUGGGUAGCCAAAGGUUUUCUCUCAACAAAGAGGGAUUAGGCUAUACCCCCAAGAAGGGCAAGAAAGCCUUUGCAACUCACAAGCCUAGCUUUGUGAAGAGCAAUGGUCGGUAUUGCAACAAAUACAAGCAAGUUGGGCACUUAGAGCUUAAUUGCAAUAAAAUGAACAAGAACAAGAAAAUUGCUAAUGUACCUUACAUUCCUUUUGAUUCAUGUUAUGUGCUUACCAAGGGUGAGAAGGGUGUGCAUGCUAAGUUUGUUGGUACACCAAUUGUGGGUCCAAAGAAGAAGGCCAUUUGGGUACCAAAAAGCUUAGUCACUAAUCUCCAAGGACCCAAACAAGUAUGGGUACCUAAGAAACAUUGAUUUGUUUUGUAGGUAAACUAUAAAGCCGGAGGAAAGCAUUGGGUGCUUGAUAGUGGGUGCACACAACACAUGACCGGUGAUUCAAGAAUGUUCAAUUCAAUCAAUCGAAAUGAUGACCAUGGUGUUGAUAGUAUCACUUUUGGUGACAAUGGCAAAGGCAAGGUCAAAGGGCUUGGUAAAAUUGCUAUAUCCAAUGAUUUGAGCAUUUCCAAUGUGCUACUAGUAGAGAGCUUGAACUUCAAUUUGCUAUCCGUAGCUCAACUUUGUGAUCUUGGUUUCAAAUGCAUAUUUGGAGUUGAUGAUGUAGAGAUCAUAAGUGUAGAUGGCUCUAACUUGAUAUUCAAAGGAUUUAGAUAUGAGAAUCUAUACUUGGUUGAUUUCAAUGCUAGUGAAGCUCAAUUAUCAACAUGCUUGCUCACUAAAUCUAGCAUGGGUUGGUUAUGGCAUAGAAGGCUUGGUCAUGUUGGAAUGAAACAAUUAUACAAGUUAUUCAAGCAUGAUCUUGUUAGAGGCUUGAAAGAUGUCACAUUUGAGAAAGACAAGCUUUGUAGUGCAUGUCAAGCCGGAAAGCAAGUUGGCAACACUCAUCCAAAGAAGAGCAUCAUGAGUACAUGCAAGGCAUUUGAGUUGCUGCACAUGGACUUAUUUGGACCAACCACAUACACAAGCAUUGGUGGAAACAAAUAUGGAUUUGUGAUAGUGGAUGAUUUCACAAGAUAUACAUGGGUAUUCUUUCUUAGUGACAAGAGUGAUGCUUUUGCAACCUUCAAAUCAUUUGUCAAGAGAAUACACAAUGAGUUUGAAACAACCAUCAAGAAAGUGAGAAGUGACAAUGGAAGUGAAUUCAAGAAUACAAGAGUUGAUGAGCUUUGUGAUGAAUUUGGCAUUAGGCAUCAAUUCUCGGCCAAGUAUACUCCACAAUCAAAUGGUCUUGUUGAGAGGAAGAAUCGAACCUUGAUUGACAUGGCAAGAUCAAUGUUGAGUGAAUACAAUGUGAGUCAUUCUUUUUGGGCCGAAGCUAUCAACACGGCUUGCUACUAUAGCAACCGACUCUAUUGUCAACCCAAUGAUGGAAAAGACACCAUAUGAGCUCUUGAAUGGAAGAAAGCCCAAUAUUGCAUACUUUUGGGUUUUUGGUUGCAAAUGCUACAUAUUGAAGAAAGGCACUAGAUUGAGUAAAUUUGAAAAGAAAUGUGAUGAAGGUUUCUUGCUUGGUUACUCCACUACUAGGAAAGCUUAUAGAGUUUGGAAUUUGGCUAGUGGUACUCUUGAGGAGGUGCAUGAUGUUGAAUUUGACGAAACCAAUGGCUCUCAAGAGGAAGAUGAGAAUCUAGAUGAUGUGAGAGGCACUCAAUUGGCCGAUGCAAUGAAGAAUAUGGACAUUGGUGAUUUAAGGCCAAGAGAGGUGAUUGAUGUUGAAGAUGACAAAGAUCAAAUUCUUGAAUGAGAGCUCAACCAAUGACCGCAUCAUUAGUGGAUAAAUAUAAUCUGAAGGGCUUUUCAUGCUGAGGUGGAACCAAGACUGGAGGAUUUGCCAAAUAAUUCUUGAUUUCAUCCAAGGCUAAUUGUUGCUCUUUUCCCCACACAAACUCCUGAUCGGCUCUUAAUUUAAGCAAAGGGCUGAAAGCACAAACCUUACCCGACAGAUUGCAUAUAAAUUGUCUGAUAAAAUUAAUCUUGCCGAUAAAUGACUGAAGUUCAGUUUUAUUGGUAGGAGCAACUAUUUUGCCGAUCGCAUCAAUGGAUCUCCUACUAAUUUCAAAUCCUCUCUGAUGCACCAUGAAACCUAGAAACUGACCUGUCGAUACACCAAAUGCACAUUUAUUAGGGUUCAUUUUCAAACCAUGUUUCCUUGUACACUCCAACACUUUUCAUAAAUCGGCCAGAUGUUUUAUGAAAUCUCCAGACAUAACCACCACAUCAUCAAUAUAGAUUUCCACCAAAUUGCCGAUGAACUCGUGGAAAAUAAAAUUCAUGGCCCUCUCAUAAGUAGCACCAGCAUUUUUCAAGCCAAAAGACAUGACUAUCCACUCAAACAACCCAACAUGACCAGGGCACCUAAAUGCAGUUUUGGGAAUAUCUUCCUCAGCCAUGAAUAUUUGAUUAUACCCUGCAUUGCCAUCCAUGAAACUAAUAAUUCGAUGUCCAGCUGCAGCAUCAACCAACAAAUCGGCAACCGGCAUUGGAUAACCAUCCAUCAGCGUAGCUUUAUUGAGAUUCCUAAAAUCGAUGCAAACACGAAGUUUUCCAUUCUUUUUGUACACAGGAACAACAUUUGAAAUCCAUUCGGCAUACCGACACUGCCGAAUAAACUUAGCCUCAAUGAGUUUGGUUAUUUCGGCCUUAAUGUUAGGAAGAAUAUUGGGGUUACAUCGGCGUGCUGGCUGCUGAUGUGGCUGAAAUCUAGAUUUAAUAGGCAACCGAUGUGCAACAAUUGAUCGGUUUAAACCAGGCAUUUCAGUAUAAUCCCAAGCAAAGCACUCUUUAUAUUCUUUUAACAAAUCGAUUAAUUGCUACUUACAUUCAUAAUCUAAUUUAGCACUAAUAAAGGUAGGCCUUGGCCUAUCACCACUUCCUAUAUCUACUUCUAUUAAAUCAUCAGCCGAUGUAAACCCCUGUCCUAACUUUCCAUCAUCGGUGAACCUAUCCAUUAAAACUCUUCAUCAAAACCGACUCCUUGGAUCUGUGUAAUUUCAUAAUCGGCAACCUUGAGGAAAUCUUUCUCCCAAACCUCUCCUGAUAUGCAUCUAGUCCGCUCAUAGGUGUCUGAUUCUGCCGAUGCAAUGACAUAUGAAGAAUCUCCCGGGACAAUCUCAAUCUUGUCACCUACCCACUGAACAAGGCAUUGAUGCAUUGUAGAAGGAAUACAACAAUUGGCAUGAAUCCAAUCUCUCCCUAGCAGUAAAUUAUAUGUACCUUUCCCACUGAUGACAAAGAAGGUCGUUGGCAAGGUCUUGCUACCAAUGGUUAAUUCAACGCAUAUAGCUCCCUUGACUGGAGACACAUUUCCUUCAAAAUCCUUCAACAUCAUAACAGUCUUGGUUAAAUCCUGAUCUCCUUUGCCAAGCUUCAAUACAUUACAUAUGACAUGACAUUAAUUGCAGCUCCCCCAUCAAUAAGUAUUUUGGAAAUCGGCUACCCAUCAACCCGGCCUUUGACAAACAAAGCUUUAAGAUGCUGUCUUUCAUCAUCGGAAGGCUUUUCAAAAAUAGCCAUCAUUGGAUCAAGUGCCAACUGAGCUAUCUGAUUAGGGAGAUUUACUUCCUCAUGAUCACUAAAGGGCGCAAGAAAUUCCAUCGGUAACAUAAACACCAUGUUAACAUCUGCCAAUGGCCCUUUUCCCUUGGGAUUCGAUUGCUGCCGAUUCUCAGACUUAGAAAAAUUUUCUUCUCUAUAUAGAUCUUCUUGGCGUUCUCGCUGCAUCCUCAUUCUAUGCGUCCUUCUUAACCCUUCUAGGCACCAUCGGGGAAGCUUUGUCUUCCAUACCGGCUGAUAGCAAACUUCCCUUGAUUCUACCCAAUGAGUAUUAGCAUCUCUGCAGAAUAUAAAUUCAUUGGGAACCCAUGCAUCUGCCAUUUCUUCUAGUUCCUCUUGGUUCCUUAGAAAAUGACCAACAUAUUCACCAAGUCUGUCAUACACACUAAGUCUGCCCCCCAGCUGAUCAUGAACUGACAUUCUCCCCCUGAUCGGCUCAUUAAAGCGUCGAUCAUUGUUCUAGAAUCGGUGAUCUGAUCGAUCAUACCGAUGAUAUCCAUUGCACUUAGGACAGUCUCUGAUAGUCGGCAAUUUGAUAUUUUGUUCCCAACAAUGAAUGAAGAACGGGCAAUUCCAGUGAUCUUUAUGUCGAUUCUAUUCUUCGUGCUCCCUCUCCUCUUGUUGACACCGAUACUGAUCUCAUGCUGCUGCCAAGUCUCUCGAUGCCGCCUAUGAGUGGUCACAACGCCAGAGCGAGGAGGCCGCCCAGAGCUGCUACCCUCCUUGAUCAAGCCUUUACCUUUAGCGUCAUCGGUGGUUACUUGAUGUCAAGGAUCCACUAAUGCAUUCUUCUCAGCAGUUUUUGAUGUUAAAACCUUAGUUUUACCUUUGGCAUCCAACAUAUUUGCAGGGAAAGGGUGUUGAUCAAUUUUCAUCGGCUUUUGAGCUUUGGAAUUAUCAAACUUGAUUCUCCCAGACUCUAUAGCCAUUUGCAAUUGCUGCCUAAACACUUUGCACUCAUUUGUGCUAUGUGACAUUGCAUUGUGCCACUUGCAAUACUUGAUUUUCUUUAGCUCCUCUGUCGAUGGGAUCACAUGAUUAGGUGACAAUUUAAUCUGCCCCUCCUGAAGCAAGAAAUCAAAUAUCCUAUCGGCCUUAGUGAUAUUGAAAGCAAACUUUCUUAUUCUAGGCUUUUCUUCAUUAGAAUGUGAACUCAUUGCCUCAUCAAUAGGCUUUUCUUGGUUCAAAAACCUUGAUAUCUUGAUCAGAAAUCCUCUGCACCAAAUGACUCAAGCUUUCAAAUUCUUGAGAAGCAUAUUUAUCUUUGAUAUGUGGCAAUAAACCCUGGAAAGCCAAAUCAGCUAACUGUUGAUCAUCCAAAACCAGACUGUAACAUUUGUUCUUUACAUCCCGCAGCCUCUACACAAAGCUUUCAACCGAUUCAUCAUUGUGUUGCCUCAAUCUUACUAAAUCAGUAAUCUUCUUUUCGUGAACCCCAGAAAAGAAAUACUUGUGAAACUGCUUUUCUAGAUUAGCCCAUGUAAUGACUGAGUUUGGAGGCAAUGAAAUAAACCAGGUAAAUGCUGAUACUGACAAAGAUGAUGAAAAUAAACGUACUCUUAACUCAUCUCUAUUAGCAGCUUCUCCACACUGGAUGAUGAACCGAUUGACAUGUUCCAUGGUUGAUGUGUCAUCUUGUCCAGAGAACUUAGUGAAAUCUAGUACCUUGUAACGAUUUGGGAGUAGAAUUAAAUCAUAAGGAGGAGGAUAUGGUGUCCGAUAAGAAUAAGUGUUAACCUUAGGUUUUAUUCCAAACUAGUCUCUCAUAACCUCUGCUAUCUUAUCGGCCCAAUAGACAUCGGCAUCCUGCCGAUGUGCGGGUUGAAUUUCUAGCACCUACUGAUAAGCUUCCACGUGUCUCUAGGGUACACGGUCUCUAUGAAACAUUACAUUGGCCAUAGCUUGUUGACCACCAACCUGUUGAGUGAGAUUCAUUGGUUGAUUUACUGGUCCUUGAUUCUGAAAACCGACCUGCAUCUGUCCUUGCUGGAAUCCCGUAGCCUGAUGACUCUGUUGUGUCACAUGUGGAAAGAACAACUGCUCUGUCCAACCAUUAUUAGCGUUCAUCGGUAUAUGUCCUGCUGAUGGUUGAUAAUUGGUUGUCACUGCUAGGUUGGCAUAACCUGUUUGAGUCACAAACCUCUGUUGAGUUAGCAACGGAUUUGUCGAUGAAUUUGCAUUAGGCAACUGGAAUGUCGGCAUUUGAAAGUUCCCUGUAACAGGUCUUGCAGUAGUAGUCGUUGAAUACUAAGGAAUUUGAGUCAUCGGUGAAACUAGGGGUGCCGAUGUCAUAGGAGCCUUCCCUGCUAAGUCAGUUACCUGAGAUGUUUCAGAACUAUUUGCAAAAAACUCUGGAGGCAUACCAUAUCCCCAGCAAUUAGGAGGUACUUGAUAAUUCUAAAACACAGACCCUGACAAUGCCGAUGCCGAUAAAUCUGUGUUGAGCUGAACCCGUCCCCCCUGAUGUCGUUGGAUUAGGUCUCAUCGGUGUAGAUUGCUCAUUAGUCAACCCUAAUGUGCUUGGAGGAGAAGUAGCUUCUGUACCCACAACGGCUGGAGGAGCCGAUGGAGCUGUAACCGAUGACAAUCCUGGCUGAUGAUAGGCCAGGCCAGCAUAUAGUGGUGGUGUCUGUCCUUCUUUAAAAGUUCUAGCCACAACAUUGUAAAUGGUAUUGGACAGCAUAUUGGAGUGAUUAAUCAAGGCACGAUUAAUAGCAUUAUCCACCAAGUCUUGCAAUUUACCAGGAUUGAGAUCAAAAGUAACCUGCCGAGGCAUCGGCAGUUCUUGCUUCUAGAUAACUUCCCUGCACCUGUUGACACUAAAGGAUUUCAAGCAAAGCUGCUUGUAUUCCUCCAUAACUCUCUCCAUAGCCUGCUUCUGCUCGUCCCUGAGAUCGGCUUCUGUCAUAGCAAUGACAUUCUCCGUGUCGAGAUCAGCAGUAGCCAUGUUGAUUUUGUUGAUAUGUGGUCCCACUAGGCGUGCCAAAAGAUGUGUUGAUGCAAAACGGAUCUGCAAACACAAAGGGCUAAUACCCGAUUCAAACGUUGAGGCGUGCUAGCCGAUUUGACCUAGCAAUCGACAAACGUGAUAACUUGAAUACUUUGGUCCCGACAACAGUGAUGUGCUUGGAUGCCAUGGCCAAGAGGUAUUCACGCGGAACUUGAGAAUUCGCCGAGUAUUGUUCGAUGAAUGCUUAAGAACUCGUAAAGAAAAGAAAAUAUGCGAGUUGACGAAGUCGUCAAAAAAGUAGAUGUAACAGUAUAUGUAAAACUUGUGUAUGAUAUUGAUUGAUUGUUAUUUUGCAUUGCUACUAGGCCGAUAUUUAUACUUUGUCCUAGGGAGUUACAACCAUAUACGACUAGGAUUUAAUUCUAAACCAAACAUAACUCUUACAUAAGGUAACCUCUAACAAAUAUGGAAAAUGACCACCUAUCUAUUCGGGCGAUCGGCAUAUCACCGUUGCUUUCCUAGCAACUCCCACGUCACCCUUCAUCAUCAUCGGCAUACUCCCCAUAUCCUUACCAACUCCCAUAUCUUUCUUCAUCGGCAUCAACAAUCAUCAACAUCAACAAUUAAUCAGCAAUGAUCAGCAGCUACCAUCAAGCUUAGCAACAUUUUCCACCCAUCAUCGGGCCAUUGGCAUCAUCAGCCAACGGUAAUCUUUUUAUCGGCUAGACACAACACCUCCCUGACCGCCGAUCAAGUUUCACUGACCAUCCUGACUCGUGCCCAAAAACAGUGUCAACACUACUAUCUUUACGCGAGCUCUGGAGUAAAGAUACCCUAACCAGACGACAGAGCAAUUACUAGCUUGAACAACUAACACUAAACUAACCAAGCACUUAUCCCAACACAAUCAAGCACCUAAGCUCACUAAUGAUAUGAUCACUAUAAACUAAGUACUUGAAAGGUAAAUAACACUCAAAAUACCAAAGGUAAAUGAUAAAUAAAUGAGUACUAAGAUAGUAAAGGUAUAAUACCAAAGUGGAGAAGAGGAAGACUUCUCAUCUCCAAGCUGAGCUACGCCUCGCUACUCUUCCCGCUUACAAAUCCAAUCUGCUAGAACGAAGCUAAGCUGGAGGCAGAGAGGCUAUGGAGCUAAGCUGGCUACCUAAGCCAGGGUGCUACUAUGCUAACACUUGCUCUAAGCUCUAUGCUAUGUUUGAGCCUCUUUUUAUGUUCUCUUCUUUUCUCCCUUCCUUGAAAUAGUGGCCGAGGGGGUCCUUUUAUAGGCCAGGGAGUCCUCUGGUGGAAGGAGCUCAAAAGGGAGUGAAGAGGAGUGGCAGGUGUCAGAAUGGGGUGGCGAGCUCCACUCCCCCUAGUGGGCGCUAGGGUUCUAUGGGGGGCGCCACCCCUGGUUAACCGCCUUUGCUCCCAAUGGUCCAGAUGAUCUCCCAAGGUUGGUUUCUGGUAAGACACGUGUCAUAGUAACAUUUUGUCACAUGUUGGAAAACCAUGAUUCAUGUGACAAUAUGUUCUGGCCAUUGGAUCAAACCGACAUGGCUCUGGACGCCUUAGAUGGACUCCUAGAGGUGUCACGCAGAUCGGUGUUGUGGUUGGCCAUGUUGGGUGUGGCGCCCGCGAGGUGGGCCCGGCGACUGCCACCUUGGCAUGGCACCCACCACCCUAGUUGGCCUAUGUAGCACCAGGUGUGGUGGUUUGCCUUUAGGGUGGAUCCUUUUCACUCUUUUUCCUGUUAUUUCAUGCAUACAAAUAAAUUUCUAUGUACAUGUGGAACUAGGUAAGUAAUAACCAAAAUAUGCACAUGUUCAUGUUGAUUUACCAUGGUUUUGGAUGAAAUAUUGAUGGUCAAAACAAGUGUUAAGUACCAUCAACAAGUUCCCCCAAGCUACCAUUUGCUUGUCCUCAAGCAAAAUGCGGGUUUAGCAUAAAAGAGUUGGAUUAGAUAAUGCUUCAAUAAACUAACUUUGCAAAGUCUACUAAUACAACACAAUGCUUUUUAUAGCUAAAAGAGUGGUUUUGAAGUUUUACCAUAAAUCAUAGUAUUGUGGGACUUUUUAGCUUUUCACUUUGAUCAUGCAAAAAGUAAGAUAGAGCAAUAGGUAGAGACUUCUUACCUUGCUUUAGUUAAGCUAAGACUAUGUCUAGAGGGUUUUGAGAUUUUGGAAAACAAAGCUUGCUUUAGUUCCUCAAAUGGCUCACUCGAUUACUCAAUGGUGUUUGGUAAACCUCACCAAGGCGAGAAGUGAUAGCCUUUAACCUUUAUUACCUACAUCUAAUGGGAUGAUAUGUGGAGCUAUGGGUAGGUAAAAACUAAGCAAACUUGUGUUGUGUAUAUCGUUAAGCUAGACACUUAGAUCGCUAGGAGCAACAGGUCAUGCAGAAAUGAUAAGAUAUGGUGAAGGUGGUUGGUUUAAUGAAAGGUGGGAAAGGAAUGAAGGAAAAAUACUCCUUGAGACUUCCCCAUGUCUCUUGAAGGGGGAUAUGGUUGCUAUGGAUAAUUUUUUUAAUAAAUGAUAAGGAUGCCCUCACAUUUCUUUUGGGCUAUAUGCCUCAUAUAGAUAUAUUUUUUCUCUUUUUUAGCAAGCCAUAUCCUUCUCCCUUCUAAAGGCCGAUUGUUGAGGAAUCUUUUGCGUGUCUCAACUAUAUGGAGUACAAAGGAAAGGACACAUGCAUAUUUCCAGUGUAGAAAUAGCAUGGGGCUAGAAAUGGGAUGUAUAGAUACUUUUGCAGAUCUCCAGGGUAGAGAAUAAGCAAUAAUUUGGUGGUUGCAAACUUCCGAAAUGGAUAGUAGGCAAUAUUGAUAGGUGUAAGUGGGAUCUUGAUAAAAAAGGCAUGACAAAUUUCUCUACUUAAAUCAAUAAGGUCUAACAAAACUCACACUAACAAGAGCUUUUUAUGGUGGCUUCCUAUCUAAUGAGUGUGUAUAUAUGGCUAGUGGUGGGACAGAAAAACAACACCAUAGAGGAACUUUGGUAGGGUUUGUGAUUUUCUUGAAAUAAAAGUCCAGACUUUACCUUAACUCUUCUUCAAGAAAGUCAAAAGAUUUACUCUGACUCUACGACUCCUAAUCUUACCAAGCAUAACUAAGAUCAAGCAUAUGCAACCCACAAAACUUAGAUUCAUAGCGAACUUUAUUCACUCCAAAACUAUAGUGGUAGGGACCGCAUAGCAGACUUGUGCAUCAUUUUUUAGAGCAAUGAUUCAUCAUUUCCAACUUAUUAACAUGGGUUCAAUAGGAGUUGAAGUAGGAUUACCUUUUUGGUUAAGCAUAAUAAAUGACAAUAUAUAUGAUCAAGCUAACUGUCUUUAAUGAGAUAUAACAAUGAAUGUAAAGGUAGGAAAGUAAAGGAGCAAUAGUAAGAACAUACCUUUGUGGGGAGAUGACCUCCCCCAAGCUAGCUUGUUGCUGGGUGUAGAGCUUCUUCUCUCAGAUUGAUAUCCUUUAUAUUUAUUUGUUUGAUUACAAGGGAAAACCUAACUACUACUUGAUGAUAUAGCUUAAGGCUAUUCAUAUUUUAUUUGAAACAAAAUGAGAUAACAUAAAGUCCCUUCAUGAUUGUUUCAAGGACUUUGUUUUUUUGUUAUUAUUUAUUUCUUUAUUAUAUUAUUAUUAUAAAUAUAUAUAUAUAUAUAUAAUUUUUUAAUUGCAUACUUAAAUAUUUUUUUUGUUUUUAUCAUUUAUGCAAUGAUUUAAAAUGAUCCUAAUUCUAAAUGCAGUGGUAGGAUAAACCUAAUCUAAAUGCAACACAAUUUAAAGGCAAAAAUGUGGAAUAAAAAUGUAGAAUUUAAAUAGAGAGAGAGUAAAACAUACCUUAAAACCACGGGGGUUCUUCCUUAGUCGAAGGUUCAUCUUUUGGUGGCUUUCCUUCGAGGGGAUCUUCUUCUUCUUCCUCUUUCCACACGGCCUCCUUGUAACACCCUAGGUGUUAAGCAUGCACUUAGUCUCACACAGUCACUCAUAAUGCAUUCUCAUCAAGCAUAGCAUGAGCAUAGCAUCACAUAAACAUAGUAGCUUUUAAUUUGUAAUUUUAUGUGCUUAAUUUAAAUAAAUUAAAUAUAAUAAAUUAGUAUGCUUGCUUUAAAUUUGCUUGUGAUGACCCAAGUGAGUUGAACUAUGCUUUAGAAGAAUUAAGAAUAUUUUUGUGGAAUUUUUGGAGCUCUAGCAUUUGAGAAAUGGAUUUUAUACAAAAAUCCCCAAAAUGAAUUUAUUUAAAAACCUAGAACUAGUUUUGAAUUGCAUUUCAAAUUCUAUUUGGAAUUUGUAGUUGCAGUUUAAAGCAAAGUUGUAUAACUAUUUAUUUUUGACAACUUUGUUUUAGGGGCCAAACCUGAAAAAGAUUUUAAGUGAGUCAAAAUGAGCUUGGAAAAUAUUUGGGAAAAAGAAUUUCAAAAAAAAUGGAAAAGGGAAAAGGCGGGCGCUAGCAGGCCGCGGCCUCGCUUCUGGCCCGCUGGCCGAAGCCGGCCCAGCCCACCAGCGCGCCUUCCCCCUCCCCGCGCCCGCACCCGCGUCCAUGCGUGACGGCCGGCCACGCCGUGCCGCCACGGCGAGCCGGCAGGGCUCUGCCGCCGCAUGGCGCGCAUGUGCCGGCCUAGACACGCCCUGGUCGGCCACCGGGAGCGCCCGACCGCGCCCGCCUCCCCCUCCGCUGCCAUUUCCGCUCAUCCACACCCCCUCUCUCGCUUUCGCUCGCCCGGACAGCCGCAGCGGCCGUGCCACCGCUCGCCAUUGCCACCGACGCUCGGAGCUCCUCUCUCUGGCAGCUCCGGCCUCCUCCCUCGAAUCCUCGGCCACCAGCGACUCCACCUCGCCUUCCCGCACUCCGCGCGCACGCUCAACCGGCCUUGGUACGCUUUGCUCGCCCGCUAGACCUCAUCGGAGCUCCGGCGACCUCUCGGCUCGCGUGGUUCUCCCUCUCAUCUCCACCGUUGCCCAUGUUUUUAAGCGCAUUAGCUCCGCAUCGACUUCACACACCUUUCCCCGUCCUAGGUUCGCGCUCUACCGCACCGAGAUGGCCGAGCCACGGUGAGCAGUGCCGCCGCGUCCGCCAUGCUCGACGGUGAGCUAGCUCCGAUGCAUGUUAGGCGCUGAAAAGGGUACGGCUAGGUUCGUCUCGCGCUCGGGAAGCCGUAGGUGCUCUUGGGGUCGCCGGAAACCUCACCGGAGGUGAGAUCCCGGCCGGUCCACGGCCGUGGAUGCGCUGAGUGUAUGACAGGUGGGGUCAGCUGACCCGCGGGUCCCGCCUGUCAGCGCCUCUAGGGGAUGGAGUUCGGGUGCACUUAGCGUUUUGAAUCGGUUUUGCUUUAUAAAUGUUUCCCAGAAAUUUGUUUAAAUGGUAUUUAAUCCAUAUCUUGAGAUCCAUAGCUCCAAAAAUGAUGAAAUAAAGUUGGUGUGUUCCAUAAUUCAAGAUCUACAACCUAGUGUCUUUGAAUGUCAUGUUUGUACAACUUUUCUGUGUAAAUAUAAUUAUUUCAUGUUUUUGUUGAUAUUUGGAAAAUGCAUAGUAAAUAGAAUAUAACUCAGAAAAAUGUAAUUCUUGUUUUGUGAGCUUUGCAUGGAUGGUUAGUCUCGUGAAAAAAUAUGUAACACAACAUUUGCUGUAGGAAUUAAUUUAUGAUGAUUUAAAUGCAUGCAUGGCAAUGGUUUAUGAUUUUUAAUAAAUGAUUGGAUCAUGCAAUUAUUUGGAAAUUUUUGUGGGCAUUUCUUAUGUUAGUAAGUAAUUUAUAAAAAUAUGAAAUAUGUUGUUUGACACUUUAUCACGAGUAGGGUAUUUACACUUAAUUAUGUUGAUUAAACUUGUGGUUUUUGUGUAGGCCACAUUACCUGUCCAAAUAUUAUGAAAAUUUGGUGGUAGACUUUAUAAAUAACUAGUGACCUACUAUAAUUUUUGUAGAAUUUAUUGAUGAUCAGAAGUAUAUGCUACUGUGGUAGGCCUAAUAAUAGUUAAAUAAAUAAAACCUUGUUAUGCAUGAGAUAAAUAGAAUAAAUGGUGUUUGGUGUAUCUUUGAAGCACCAUGAUAGCUUGCUGGUUGGUAAUAACUUGUAGAAGAGAAUGCAAUAGAUGCUUUACUUUGGUUACAUGUUCUUGGAUGAUGUUGACUACCUUGUAGAAAUAGUUUCUUGUUUCAUCUAUGCACCAUGUCAUGAUAAUCUUGUAUUAACUUGUGUAAGCAUAGCACCUCGGACAUCUUGCACUCCACUCAUGAGCACACAUGCAUCAUACAGGCUCGCAGGAGAACGAGGUGGGACCCGAGGAACCGGAGGAGACACAGGAGGAGGAACAUCUGGAAGGACCCGAGCCAGAAGGAGAUCUACAGGAGUGCCCGGACCACAGGUCUAACACUUUCGAGAGAGGCAAGCCCUGGAGCAUUCUAAGUCUUCCUAUUCUCACUAACGUAAUUUGUUAUAUCAUGGUUGUUUUACUAUGCUGCAUUUAAGUGAUAGGAGUUGCUUGAUACCGUUGAUGCAUGUUUAUUCCUUGAUAUCACCACCUAUUUAUCUACCUUGUCCUAUAUAGAUAGGCUGGGAGUCUAUGCUUAGCUUGCUUAGCACGGUAGAAGUCGGAUGAUAUCCUGUCACCUAUGAGAUAUAGGUGGAUACCUGAAUGUUAGCGGUCAAUGCUAUGGUGAAAAAGUAACCAAGUGUGGGAAUGAAUCUGAGACCGGGCAGGGUCUUAUGGUGGUGUUGACCGUAGUGCCCCUACCUAUGUCGAUUAAGGACCGAUCGUUGACGGCCCUCUUGUCAUGUUGAACGCAUGCCCCACUUAGCUAGAAGGAGAAGUCGUUCCGAUUAUGAAGCCUGAACACUAUCCGAGCCGGGAGUCGAGCCGCCAUGCGCUGUAUUGGUGAUGGUUGAGGAGAACGACGAGGGCGCGGCGUGCAACCUUGGUAUACCUUGCAUACCUCGGUCGCAGGAACGGUCCUCGGGUACUGGCGGUGCCUGCCGAACCUGCGAAUUGGUCCUAGAUAGUGUAAUAUGGUGAUCUGUAGCUCACUUGAUCAGUGAGUGUGGUUUGUGUGCGGAAUAACUCGCCAGCUGGUCAGAAAUCGAUUCGAAUCGCCAUCGCUCCUGGAUAGUGAGCACUUGACAUGAGCCCUGUCCUCGUAGUAAGGACUAUGAAACACUUGGGUUAUGAUAAGUAAUGAACUGUGAAUGCUAUGAUAAGGUACUAUCAUAUCACAACAAUGUUGUUUGCAAUAGUACAGGUGCAAACCUAGAUGGUAGGUAUUAAUACCUAACUUGAGCUAAAUAAAAGAAAGGGGAGAUCAGAAUAUAUUUCUAGAUGGUUAAUGCUUUUGUGCAAAAAGGUUUCAGCUACCCCACUAUACAACCUUCAUAAUCCUUGAAGAGUCUUUUAUUUUUGGUUUAGGACGGGUAAGUCUAGCUGAGUACAUUCUCGUACUCAGGGUUCCAUUCCCAUGUUGUUUUGCAGAUGGUCAGAUGUACUAUGGGUAUUGCAUUCACUGCUUGUACCCAGCAAUGGGUGAUGACUAGACCAAGGGCGAUGGUCACUCUACCUCCUCUUUUGCUGUUGUGGGAAUGAUCAAACUAUAACACUAUAUCAGACUAAGUGUUUGUGUUACUUUAAAACUAUGAUGCUUCCGCUACUCUUGAACUUGGUUUGUAAUAACUUUAUGUGAACUCUGAUGUAAUUGUUGAAUGUUGUGAUCUGAAUGUAACUGUGGAUGGUGAUCGCUGAACUUAUUACGAUCUUGGCUGUAUGUGCGAUUGUGGUUUGAAAUCCUUUGAGAUUUCACAGACUACCAGGAUUAUAUGGGCUUAAGCUUGGCAAGUUGACUGUGUAAAUGGUUGCUAUCAGGCUUAAUCUCUUAUAAUUUGGGUGGUUCUGUUAGAGCUGGCAUCAUAGCAAGCUUCAACGGAUUACUGUUCAUAAGUACGUUCUAAAACAAACUUAAACCGGUUAAUAAAAGUUAGUUACCUAUUAAUGGUAAUCAAGGUGUUAAAAUGAGUUUUUGGAAAACUACACAGUGUGCCAAUGGUCAUAUCCUUUAUGCCCAGCUAAGGACUCUAAGGUGGCUAGUUAAGUACUGACUUGGGGUUUAUACAUCAUAUUUCUAUUUCGUCGCUCAUAUGGCGUGUAAUAGUAUGAGUGCCAUUCAUUUGAGUGGUAAUAUGUGGAUCAUUUUCCCCUACGCCAUGGUAAGUGGGAGCUGUGAGAGCAUCAUCGGAUACACUACCGGUCUAUGGAAGUGCUUUAGGGUGCUAUGUCAUGCACGCAUAUCUAGUGUGCCUGGGAAUAGUACCGCAUGUUGUGAGAUUCCGUCCUAAGAGGCAAUGCCGUCAUUAGGGUGAUGAUGUGGGUAGUGGCAUGUCACAUGCAUAGGUGUGGUACCUGUGUGUGUGGGGUGCAUAGUUCUAAUUUCUUGUUCUGCAUGUUCAUACUGUGGUUGGGCUGAAAUAAGUUUUUCUGCAGGUAUGCUAACCACGUUCUCGCAUAGAACGCUAGUUACGUUAUGAGAGCAACGCUGUGUGCCACAUCAUAUACCGUUUAGUAUUGACUUAUGUUUCUAAGUUUGUGAGAUUGUAAGUUUAUUGCAUGCAUCAUGUUCAUUUCAUAUCAUUACUAACUUCCUCCCCUUAUUUAAAUCUAUCCCAAUUGUAAUUAAAAUGAUAAAAGAUAAUCCUCAGUCUUACCCAAGGUAUUCUAUUUUCAGCAGAUGGCACGCACUAGGCUCACCGCUCGCAAGUCCACUGGUGGGCGGGCCCCACGCCACCAGUUAGCACCUAGGAGCUCGCGUCACAAGAGCAAGUUCCUAGGAGAGUUUGGGAUGCCUACCUUGUUGUGGAGGGUGCUCAGUUUGAUGGGGUAUCCUGAAGGAAGGGAACCUCACUACUAUUGGAACCGAGAGCAGCUUGGUGACGGGACCCUGGUGGGGAUCGAGGCAGUGAUUCCUACCAGCGGUGGUGACCCCACCUGGGGUGGCUGGGUAUACGAGUCCCGAGGCAGCACAACUUUCCAGGGUGCGAGUAGGGCUGCUUUUGCAGUUCUGAGGGAUAUCCUGGAGAGGUUUCCGCAUGAGCUGGCCCAUGCCUUUGCUGGGGUGUUUCCCCGGGAUGACCCCUACACUUCGGUGUGGGAUCAGUCCGAGGUAAAUGCUCUAGAGAGGAGUAUGGAUGAGGAUCAGCACAGUGACAGUAUAGCUAUGAGCGCGAUGUUUGCCAUGAUGAAGACUUAUGGAGGUCUAGAGCGCUGUUUGGGGCGUUUGUCUGGGUCUCUCCUGAUAGUUCAGGAUGAGAAGCGCCAGCUAUAGCAUGAGUUUGACAGUGAGGUUGAGAGGCUGCAGGCGGAGUUGGCCCGUGUUACUCUAGAGAGGGACUAGGCAGUCCUGCAGAACAGUGUGCCGAGUCAGGAUCUGCUAGUAGUGAGAGAGUAGAGAGACAGGGUGAAUGGAUUAACACAAAACCACCGAUCUUUAAAGAGGCCGUGGAACCGGUUGAGGCGGAUGAAUGGAUUAACACAAUGGAGCAGAAGUUCUGUCUCCUUCGGCUGACCGAAGAGCUCAAGGCAGAGUACACAGCGCAUCAGUUGUAGGGACCUGCUGGGAUAUGGUGGUCCCAACAUCGUACCACCUAUCCAGAGGGGACCCCGAUCACCUGGAACCGCUUCACCACCGCUUUCUGGGGAAAUUAUAUUCCUCAGGGUGUGGUGGAGAUGAAGAUUGGAGAAUUCAUGAAGCUGUGUCAGGGAACCAAUCUGUGAAUGAGUAUCUACACGCUUUCAACAAUCUUGCUCGCUAUGCUCUAGAGUUUGUGAACACAGAUGCUAAAAAGAUUGCUAGUUUUCAGAGGGGCUUGAGCCCAAAGAUGCUGAAGACUUGGGUACAGGGACCUGAGCUACUUUCAAUGCCUACAUCAGUGAUUGUCUGACCCAAGAGAAUAAUAACAACAACUAUAGUGCAUCCAAGUCACGUAAGAGGGCUUUUGAAGCCGCAUCCAAGUCACGUAAGAGGGCUUUUGAAGCCGGAUCGUCUGAGUCCAGGGCACCAGUGGCACGACGUCAGCAGUAUCAUCCUCCUGCCCCGGGUGCUAGGUUCUGACCCCCGCAGAAAAGGAAUACAGGACAUCCAACUCUGCGGAAGCCAUACAAGGUAGCAGUGGCUCCAGCAAAGCCAAGGGCAAAUCAAGCUACAGCACCAAGUGCCAACACCAUGACCAAGGGGCCAUGCUACAACUGCCAUAGGAUGGGGCACUUUGCUGAAGAAUGUCCAUACCCCAAGAAGCAGCAGACGACCUACCCAGCCCGUGUGCACCACACCUCGAUCGGUAAUAGCUGGUAUGUUCCCUAUUAACCAACAUCUUGCAGUUGUUUUGUUUGAUUCUGGAUCAUCGCAUUCAUUCAUGAGCCAAGCAUUCACACAAAAGCAUAAUCAGGUAGUUACAGAUGUGGGUUAUGGCUAUCACAUCAGCUCAGCAGGGGCAGAUGUGUUAACAAAUAGAGUGGUUCGAGGGGCAAUCCUGGAUAUAAGUAACCGCAUGUUCCGAGUGAAUCUGGUGGUCAUGCCUGGUUUAGUCUUGGAUGUUAUCAUGGGCAUGAACUAGAUGAAAGAGUGGGACACAGUUAUAGAUGCACGGAAAAGGAUGUUAUCUGUCACGGAGCCUCAGGGCAGUGGUUCUUUUCAAGUACCCCUACCUCAUCGGUUUUACUUUGCUAACAUCUCUUGUGCUACGCAAGUGAUUCCUUUAACCCAAAUCCCCGUGGUUUGUGAGUUUCCUAAUGUUUUUUAGAAGAAUUGCCAGGACUUCCCCCAGAUCAGGAAGUGGAGUUUGCUAUAGAUUUGAUACCAGGUACAACACCAAUCUCUAGAAGGCCGUACCGGAUGCCACCUAACGAGCUCGCUGAAUUGAAAACUCAGUUGAAGGAGUUGUUGGACAAAGGUUUCAUCCGGCCGAGUUCGUCCGAAUGGGGCUGUCCGGUGUUGUUUGUGAAAAAGAAGGAUCAAUCCUUGCGCAUGUGCGUGGACUAUCGUCCACUCUAUGCUGUGACAAUCAGGAAUAAGUAUCUUCUACCAUGGAUCGACAUCCUGUUUGACCAGUUAUCUAAAGCCAAGGUGUUCUCCAAGAUAGAAUUGAGGUUCGGGUAUCACCAAAUCAAGAUCCGCCCGCAAGAUCUACCAAAGACUGCUUUUUCCACCAGAUACGGUUUGUACGAUUAUCUUGUCAUUUCCUUCGGGUUGACGAAUGCUCCUGCAUACUUUAUGUAUCUGAUGAACUCAGUCUUUAUGCCAGAGUUAGAAAAGUUUGUUGUGGUGUUCAUCGAUGACAUUCUGGUUUAUUCAGAGAAUGAGCAAGAUCAUGCGGAGCAUCUAAGGGUCGUGCUGACACGACUACGAGAACAUCAGUUGUAUGCGAAGUUCAGCAAGUGAAUUUUGGCUUAAGAAAGUUCAAUUCCUAUGGCACAUUUUGUUAGAAGAAGGAAUCGUCGUGGAUCUAUCAAAAGUACAAGAAGUUAUGGACUGGAAGGCACCUACUUCUGUCUCAGAAGUUCGAAGCUUUCUUGGGUUAGUCGGGUAUUAUCAUCGUUUCAUCCCCGACUUCUCCAAGAUUGCUAAGACAAUGACCAGUUUGCUACAAAAGGAUCAUAAGUUCACUUGGACAGAGGGGUGUUAAGUAGCCUUCCGUGCCUUGCGAAAGCUACUAACCACUGCUCCUGUUUUGGCAUAACCGAACAUCGAGAAGCCUUUUGAUGUGUUCUGUGAUGCAUCGAAAAGUGGUUUGGGGUGUGUGGUGAUGCAAGAGGGCAGAGUUAUAGCUUAUGCUUCACAACAGCUGAGAAAACAUGAAGUCAACUAUCCGACUCAUGAUCUUGAACUAUGUUGACGGUCCUUAAUGCUCACAUUUAAACGUCAACUAACCAUGGAAAAGGACUUAUGUGCAACCAACGCCCAGACUUAGGGUUUUAUCUAACACAAUUCCACGAGUUUUGUGUUUGUCUAUUUCUGCAGGGGGUUAUCAGGAAAUACGAAGGAAAGGCCCACACGUCGGGUUUACAUAGAGAUAUUAACGUGCCGCGCAAUUUUCUAUCAUCUAGAAGACUCCAGAAGCCACGUGAACGAACGGGAAGCCGAGAGGGCUCAGGGACAGGGCGCCCGCCCUACUUCCUAGGGCGCCCGCCCAGCUACAGUGUCCAAUUUAGACCCGUUUCGUGGAUCGUGCUCCACUGACCUAAGGGAUUAAGGAAAACCGUGUGAUUAAUGUCGGUUUGAUCCGAUGGCCCAGAUUCAUCUGAAAAGACUAUAUAAGCAAGGCCCCCUGGCCCCUAGAGAUCAUACCUCUUCUACAGAAUCAAAGUUAGGGUUUCAAUUCUUCAUCCAAGUAGAGAGGAUCCCUCCAGUUCAUCUAGUUCUAGUUCUAGUUCAUCUAGUUCUAGUUCUAGUUAGUUCUAGUUGUAAUCUAGAAAAUAGGGAGAGAGAAGAGGAGAGAGGAGGAGGAGCUGGAUCUGUCGGAUCUUCCUCAACAUUAUAUUUUGCAGCAACUGGUUCGUUCUUCAAUUCAUAAUUUCUGAGUUCUUUAAUUACUUUUAUGUACAUUCAAGUUAUUUAUUGGAUUCCCGCUUGCAUCAAGUGCUCUAGUUUUUAUAACGCUAGAGUAGUAAUUAAUAGAUUAGACGUGGUGUUUAGUCUUGCGAUUACCUGGAAUUGCACCCAAUCCUGCGGAUUGUUGUGGUAGCCUUAGGGUAGUGACAGCCCUAAUGGUCGACGUAUUCCACCACGUUCGGAUCGGUGUUUGUAGGACCGUAGUCAGACCUUCCUAGCCCUCUUCUCAUCUCUUUCUGUGGUUAGUGCUCUGAUGUCCCGAUAUAGAUAAUCUUGAAGUAAUUCUUGAUUCUUAGAUCAACUAGAGAACUCUCAGGAAACUUCCUCUCUUCCCACCAAAAAUAAUCAUAUAGUUAUCCUUGGGCGAUCUUGAAUCUUAAUUAGUACACUCACGUUCCCUGUGGAAAAUCGAUACUCUGAAUACUCCCGGGUGAAGGCUACAUCGGUAUCCGUACGCUUGCGGAUUUUUCUGUUUGCGUUUAAAAUACCCAACAAGCUUUCUGGCGCCGUUGCCGGGGAACGAUAGCUGUGCUAGUUUCGAACCAAGUCGUCCGUGUAUCCUUUUUCUUUUCCUUUUUACCACACUCACCUUAUCAUUUUCACCAUACCACAUGGAUUUCACUCUAAGCAUUAAUGAGCAUGGAAUUUAUUUCAUAGCCACUUCAUUUACUCCAUGCUCAUAUGCACCAUCUUCACAAUCCAUUGGUCUCUCCAACAUCACCACAUUCGAGAUCUCCAACCCCCUCAUCCUUUCUAUUUAUGAAAACUUUAAAAGGGUGGUUGUCGAUGCACAUGUCUAUAAUAAAUUUUGCAGAUCUCGUUGAGUAGAUCUUGAUAUAGGUCAGCGUUGGAGGGGAAACCACCUCGCUGACAUAAAUUAAUGGUUUCCCAAGAACAAGUUUAGUGUCCUAAAAUAAGCACUGAUUAGAUCGUAACAUGAGCUUUUAAUUAUUUGCAACAUUACCUUGUGAAUUGAGCAUAUAAAGGAUAAUUGUAAAAAAAUUCCUUCGGGUAUUCUUGUCACUAACCUUUCCAGGAUUGGAGCAAGAAGAUCGGAUGAAUGACAAGCACAAGGUAUGUACAACCAAUCAUCAUACAACAUUGAAUUAAAUUCAUCCAAACUUGAAUUUUGCAAAAUUCAAGCUUGGGGGAGUACUUUACAUAAAAACAUCCUUUGCAAUGUUGCUAUAUUGGUUGACCCUACCAUUGAGACAUGCUCAAUUUGUUAAAUACUAAUCACACUACUUCAUCUCCACUUGAGUAGAUCUCUAUAAAUGCUCUCAUGCUACCUUUAUUUGCUUUAGUAUAUGUCUAGGUUUGGAGUAGUUUCAUUUAUCUCUUAAUUGAGCUUGGUGCUUAGUUUAGGAAUGAUGAUCUUACUUCCAAGGGGUUUUAAAUUAAGCAUGGUGCUUAUGUUAAAAAAAGCCCUCCUGAAUCAAAUUAGACAUGGUGUCUAGGUUGAUUUUUGAGCCGAUAGUAUGCUAUAGUAGAUAUAGGAUAUUUUGUUGGACUAACCCAUGCAGGAAAACUUUCACUAUCGACAUGGGAAGUCCUGAGAUACACUCACAUUUUUGACAAAGAGAGAGACACAUGAAGUUUAACAAUUUACACAAGGAAGGCAUAGCUCACAAAAGAUGAUCCAUGGAGGGUGCCACAAAAACGAUGCACAACCACUAAGAAAGGAAAGCUUCCACAAGGUGAUACUGUACCAUCACUCUUCAAGUAAGGUAACAUCUUAAGGUACUUGUCUAUCACUUUUAUAAGUUUCUCCUUGGUUCUCGCGUUCACAUGAAUAAAAGAGACAAACAUGUAUGAUUUACAACUCUAGAUUAACCAACCCAAUCGAUUCAACAUGUUUAGUCCUUCCACCUUUGUGAUCCCACGCUUCUAAUCAUAUGAGCUAAAAUGUUGCACACUCAAUCUGUGGGAGAUAUAAAAAAACGUAACUAUAGAUAGAUUAUCUUUCUAUUAGGUUGAGCGAUCUGAUCUGACAAAUGUUUUAAAAUGCUACACUCAUGAUCUUAUUAUCCAUCAACUUUGUCUUGCUCACUAUGCUUAAGGUUAGAGAAGAAAAAAUACACUUUUGGUUCUGUUGGUGUUUUCCACCAACAGGGCCCAUGCACUUGAUCUCCGCCUUGUCUUUAUGAGCAGGUACACUUCGAGCAAAAUAUGAAGGAGUUUUUCAACUCCCAGACUCCACCAAGUGAAGAACCUAGAUCAACGAGCACAAACACACUGGAGAUACUAGACACUCAUGCAAUCACUGCCCUGAGAUGCUUGAAGAUGUAACUACUGGAGUAACCCCGUCAUGGAAGUAAUUACUGACCUUCUGCCGGUCAAGAGCGGCAAUCCAGGAUGCACCGUCAUCCCGAUCUCCAUCGGCAUGGUGGACUUCCUAGAAGCACUCUGCGACUUUGGCUCCAGCGUCAACAUUAUGCCCAGGGGAGGCCAUUCCUAAAUACCUCAGGAGCUGUCAUCUACGCUAGUGCUGCCAAGAUCAGUUUCUACAUCAAGGGAAGGAAGGAGAUGUUUUCCUUCAAGAACAAGACUAUACAAAUCUCAGAUCAAUCCCGACAUGAACCAAGGAAGAGGACCAACAGGAGGAACAGGAACAAGCAAGUGUGGACCGAGUUAGCUAAGAUGGUCACUGCAGUUCAAGGAGGUCAAGAUCAUCUAUUUAAGUCACCGUUCCUGACCAAAAAGGAUGACCCAGGCAUGCCAAGCAUCCAGUGCUCCAUUAAUGGAUGCAACUUCUAGAAGACGCUUUGCGACACCGGGUCAGGCAUCAACAUAAUGGCCGCAGUCACCUAUCAACUCCUGCAUGGAACCAUGUCCCUACAACCAACAUACAUUCAGCUUCAGAUGGCAGAUCAGACAUUCCGAAAUGUUGAAGACAAGUACGAUCCACCCAUCAUUCAUAGGAGACCGUUCCUCAGCACCGUUAAAGCAAUCAUCUACAUUGGAACCGGAGAAGUCCACAUGCACUUCCCCUCUGAAAAGGUACGCCGCUAUUUUACUGACCCUAACUAUAUAGUUGAAGAUUCUAAGCAGGUCAGGACAAGAAGAAGACGACGCAACCGCAACCAGAGGAGGCAAAUCAUCAAGGACGGAUGGGCAGACUACGAAGGAGAAGUGAUAAGGUCUCAAGAAAUACAACUUGAACAGAACUGUCCUGAGGAGGCCGUAGCACCAAGGCAGGUGUGGAGAAAGAAGAUAGUUAUACACGAAGAGGAAGCACCGUCGGAACCACCGACUACGCCAUCCAGCGAAUCUCAGAAUGACUCAGGAAAUGGAGAGUACCGUUCGGAGGACUUAAAAACACCGAACGCCUUGCCAAGAGGUAAACUUGGUAGUUAUCUUUUUCCUUUCAAUUAUUUUAGUUAAUCAGGUUCAUAUCAUCUUGAAAAGAAAAUAAAAAUGUUAAGUAAGCCCCAUGUGAGUAUGCUCAUGGCAUAAAACCCAUAAGUACAUUCACUGUGGUGGCAUCAAAAUAAAAUAAAUAUAUUCCUGUCCUAUAAAAAUAAAAAUAUAAAAAUAAAUUUAUGAUCCUACUAAAGAGACUAACAUUUAUUGAGGAGACUCAACAUGAUAAAGGCUAGAUAUUUAUGCUAACACUUAACUAGUUCCACAAAGCUUUGUUGUCUAUUUGAGCUCCACAGAAUUCAAGGAUCAAAGAAGACUAGCAGACGGAGGACAUCCUACUCGCUGUUAGAGUGCUGCAGACAAUCAAAUUCACCUUCGCCAUGUGCUAGCUACAACAGAAGAAAAUACGUCAAAAUCCAGCUUGGGGGAGAGCACCCCCAUUUAUCCAGCUAAGUAUUCUACUCACGUUUAUACUACUCUAAUAAUAAAAUGAUGCAUAAUCAUAGAAACCCAAAUAAAGAUUUUGUGCUUAUAUAUAUCUUUGCUUAGUUUGCUAAAUAAAUAAAUAAAUAAAGUCUGCUAUGAACCAUCACGAUAAGCUCUCACAUGGAAAUGAUGAAUAUUUACUCUGCCAUGACUAGUUAUCAAAAUUGAAAUCUCUCUCAAGUUUAGGCAUGACUGUUAUUAAUUAAGAUUUGCUCUAAACCUGAACUUGUGGGGAGAGUACUUGAUCUGAAGUCUAAGUCGUUAACGGAUAUGAUAUGGAAAGGUUGAGCUGCUGUUUAUCUGUUCCUAGAGAUGCUAGAAUUCUGGAGAAUUUUAUCUUUGAAAAUCAUUAAAAUAACACAUGAUGAGUUCCUGUAUGAUGAGAGUUUAAAUUCCUACCACAACCAUAUAUACAUGCUUGCUAGACUUUGAGCCACAUAUUUACUUUUUACUGCUUAUGAGCAUUGAGUGUGGUCAAGCUGUGUAGACCCUUAGGAGCUUGUCAUGUGGUUAAAUCAAGAUUCACUUGCACGUUCACUCAUACAUGUUGCUUCUACUUCGGAAGUACCAUCCACAUAUAUCCAUUUUCAUCUCCAGAACCACCUAAAAAUAUUCUACUCCUAAUCCGGGAGAGAAUAGCCAAAAACAUUUAUGUUCUUCCCUAUGAAAUAAAUGCUCAAGUUAUCUUGUUACUACCACUUGCUAUAUUAUCUCAUGAGAUGAGUGCUCUAAUAAAAAAAAGAGAGAAAAAAUUACGAGGAAAUAAAAAGGGGCAAGUGCCCGGAACCUCGAAAGAAAAGAAAAAAAAAAGAAAAAAAAUUGAGACGAGAGGUAAAAAUGGACAAGUGUCCGACAGUAGAAUUAGGGGUACAAGAUACCCACCUGAGAGAAAAGAAAAAAGAAAAUAUAGAGCAUCUCAUUCUCCUCACAAAGUUUCAAAAGAGCAAGAAAGGUAUGUAUCCCCUCAAAAGAGCAUGAGUAGAAUUAGACUUUCACCAUUGUUAUCACCAUCAUCACCAUACACCAUUCAUUCGCCACACAUGCACAUCUUGAUUUGACUUAUUGACUUGUUCUUCUGGAUCCAUGGUUUGACUAUGCAAUAAAUGUCUUGUAAGUAUGUAUUAGCUGUCUCCCUCCUAUGAGCUCCAGAUAUCAAAAGCCUUAUUAGAGUAGGGUGAGAGAGAAGGCAAUGCCACUAUGCCUUAUACCACAAAUACCACAUACUUUGAGAGAAGGCAUACACCAUUAAUGCCUUGGUAAGGAUCCAGAAAUACCACAAAAGAGAGACUAGAGAGAGUCAUACAAGGAAUCUCUGAGUUUUAUUUGAAAAUCUGCAAAAACUCCAGAGCCAUAGCAGAUCAAGAAUAAGAGACAUGGUGCUUGACUAGACCGUUCUAUCUUUUAACUACUCAAGACAGAAGUGACGGUUACAAGUCCCAUGGUGAAAGGUAAAUGAGUAAGUUUUAAGUCUUAACAGUUUACUCUAACCAGAGAUGAGAUCUUGUUUAAACGCAUGUGUAUCUUUAAGUUAUGAAACCACUGCAGAAACUCUUGAGUUCAUCUUUGCUCAGGGACGAGCAAAGGUUAAGCUUGGGGGAGUUUGUUGACGGUCCAUAAUGCUUACAUUUAACCAUCAACUAAUCAUAGAAAAGGAUCCAAAUGCAACCAACACCUAGACUUAGGGUUUUAUCUGACAGAAUUCCACAAGUUUUGGUGUUUGCCUAUUUCUGCAGAGGGUUAUCAGGAAAUACGGAAGAAAGGCCCACACGUCGGGUUUACAUAGAGAUAUUAACGUGCCGCACAAUUAUCUACCAUC